CUUGCUGGUGGGUUGGGAAUGAUUAUGGCUAACACUGCCGAGAGUGGUGAAGAGCUUCUUGCUGAUGCACAUCUUUUGGCAGCUACCAUGGUGGGUCAAAUUGCAGGGGAUGAGAUCAAGAAGUAUAUAAGGUUGAGUCAGUACCCAACUGCGACUAUUGAGUUUAAAGGAACUGUGAUUGGGGGAUCUCCUUCUGCUCCUCAAGUUGCUUCAUUUUCUAGCCGUGGACCCAACCAUCUCACUUCGGAGAUUCUUAAACCUGAUGUCAUUGCUCCUGGUGUUAACAUUUUGGCAGGGUGGACUGGGAGAGUGGGACCUACGGAUUUGGACAUUGAUCCUAGGAGGGUUGAGUUUAACAUUAUUUCAGGGACUUCUAUGUCUUGUCCUCAUGCCAGUGGCAUUGCUGCAUUGCUUAGGAAAGCAUAUCCUGAGUGGUCACCUGCGGCUAUUAAGUCUGCUUUGAUGACAACUGCUUAUAAUGUGGACAAUUCUGGAGGGAAUAUUAAGGAUCUUGGAACUGGAAAGGAGUCAAAUCCGUUUACUCAUGGGGCUGGUCAUGUUGAUCCCAAUAGGGCUCUUAACCCUGGCUUGGUUUAUGAUUCUGAUAUUAAUGACUAUUUGGCGUUUUUGUGCUCAAUUGGGUAUGAUGCUAAUCAGAUUGCGGUUUUCACUAGAGAGCCUGCUGCUGCAAACCCUUGUGAAGGGAAAGUGGGUAGGACUGGGAGAUUGGCUAGUCCGGGUGAUUUGAAUUACCCUUCUUUCUCUGUGGAGUUGGGUAGGGGAAGUGAUUUGGUUAAGUACAAAAGGGUUGUUACUAAUGUGGGAAGUGUUGUUGAUGCUGUUUACACUGUGAAAGUGAAUGCUCCACCUGGUGUUGAUGUUACUGUGGCUCCCAACACACUUGUGUUCAGUGGUGAAAACAAGACACAGGCAUUUGAGGUUGCGUUUAGCAGAGUUACGCCCGCUACUUCUGACAGCUUUGGGUCAAUUGAAUGGACUGAUGGAAGUCACGUUGUGAGGAGUCCAAUUGCUGUUAGAUGGAGUGGUGAUUCCUCAUCAUCCCUUUGAGUGGCUAUGGAGACACAUUCCCAGGUUAUGGAUUUAGUAUCGUUCUAGUUUUUUCUCCUUUUUUUAUUGUACAAGCUGCAAAUAACGACUUUGAAGUGGUUGGUGAAGGAAUUCCAAUAAUUUACGGGGAUGAAGUAAGACAGGGGAAUGAGAUGUGAUUUGUAACAUGGUUGGUUCAGUUCAGAUUGUUGUAAUUUGGUGUUGAGGUGGGGUCGUGCUGAACGAGAUGUAUAUGGCAGCAUUGCACCCUCUGGCUUUGCUGAAAAAACCUAGGACACUUUGAAUUUGUCAUGCCUUUUUUUGUGGCUUGUCUGAUGGGGCCAUGGAUUCUCAUAAUCAUCCAUUUACAUCAUUCACAGGUUAUGGAUUUAUUAAGUUAAGAGUCUUUGUAAUUUUCUGUAAGCUUAUUAUUGCCCUGUUGUAGAAACUACAAAAUACUUUUACAGUAUGCAGUUUCAUGCAAGUGUACUGGGGACAACAUUGAAGUAGUCGAUGACAAAGUAUGAUAUUUGUCGAUGUGAUUUGGAUUAUUGUCGUGCUUCUGCAUAUUUAUCAGGAUACGUAUCAUUAUAUAACUAGUUAUAUAUACUAUACUUGAAAACUCCAUGAACAUGCAUGUUCAUAAUGAUAAAAGUAGCAAUUACACAUCAUUUUGCAUUACAAACUAUGCACUGUCCUCCAAGAAGAUGUUCCCAGUUAUGAACAUGCAAUGAUUUGUGUGCUAUGAUAACCUUUCAAAUCAACAAAGACCAAGCUAUCUAAGUUUAAUCCAAAAUCUGAUUAUUUGCUGUCGAUUCAUCAAUGUAUACUAAAUUCUUUAUGUAGUAGAACCACAUAUGCAUAUACUGUUUUGUGAUUUUUAAAAAUUGUCUUGUAAUCAGUGACAGAGAUCUUAGAAAAGGAGGGCCAAAUAAAUUUACAAGUUAUGCUAAAAUUUGUUGUUCAAGAGACGUUAAGAUGUUAUCCAAAGUGAGUUUAUUUCAAUAAUCGAUUAUAAUUAUAAUCAAAAUCAAUUUUUUUUAGAUAAGUUUGCCAAUAAGCGAUUUGAAAAUACUUAAUUUUGUUUGGAUGAAAAAAGCUCUUAUAUGAGAAAAAAGAGUGCGUAUGAAGAUGAGAAAGGGAAAAAAAGCUUUUGAAGAAUAAUUAUAAAUUACAAAUUUCCAGAUUUAAGAAAAUAGCUUGUUUUAGAGAAGGUAUUUUACAAAUUUAAACUAUUAUCCUAAACAUCUGGUUAUUUUACAAACAAUUUAAAAAGUAAAACUAAAAAUCUUAGGUUUCAGUUGCCUUAAAAAUCUGUUAAAGUGUGUACAAUCUUAAGCAUAAGGAAUUGGAUUUUCACUAAAAUGAACCCUGCAGUUCAAAAGCAACUGGAGGCUGGUACAGUUAUAAAUUAUAAUCUAAUGAAUAAGAUGAUGUGUAGGUUAUAUUUUUAUUAAUUUUUUAUUUAUAAAGUAUAAAAUUAAGGGUGUGGGUUGUUAACUCAUUGGCGUACCAAAUUAUCCCGAAGUUGAAGAAUAAACUUACCUAAUAAUAGGAAAAUAAUAAUUUAACUAUCUUAUAAAAAUGAAAAACUUUUUUACAAUUAUCUAUACCUAUAUAUAAAGGGGAUUUCCUUCUUAACUGCUCUUAAUUUUUUUUCUUAUUUUAUCCUUAUAUUUAUAUUUAAUUUUAUUAUGGUAUUAUGGUCAUUGUGUCAUUUCUUAUUCCCCUCUUAACUGCUCUUAAUUUUUUUCUCAUUUUAUCGUUAUAUUAAUAUUUAAUUUUAUUAUUAUAUUAUGGUCAUUGUGCCCUUUCUUAUGGGCGGUUUUGAAUUGAAAGAGAAGUGGAAAAACGGUUUUGAAUUGAAAGAGAUGUGGAGGAACAAUUAUGGAUUGAAAGAGAGGUGGAGGAGUAGUUAUGAAUCGAAAGAGAUAAUUUAUUUUAAAAAUUAACUGCAUAGAGAGAGUCUGAGAGAGAAAUAAAUUUAAUAAAAUACUUGAAAUAUAUGAAUAUAUAAAUAGUAAAAAUAAAAAAUACGGAUACACAGGCACGUGAGUGCCUGUGUUCCCGCUAGUAUUAUAAUAAUAUAAAUUAAUGAUUAAUGACUAAAAUAAGUUUAUGACAUUAUACUUGAAUGAAUUUGUCUAGAUAUCAUUAAUAUUAACUAGAGCGGGCAAAAUUUGUAUAUAUAUCGCUAAAUAUAAUAAGAAAACAAUACAACAACAUAAACUUUUAUUUGAUUUUGUGUUAAAAAUAAAGCAAAACAAAAUUAAAGUAAAAGAUAUAAUCGUUUGAAUUAAAAUAUAACUUAAAACAAUUUGUCUUUCAAACCAUAAAAAUAUUCCGAGGGUUAAACUUUAUCAAACAUAACACACAAUAUAUAUUCAUGCUAAUUUUUUUAUUUUUAGAUUAAAGGAAUCUUAAUUCCGUCAUUAAUAUUCAUUUCUUUUGAACUUAAUAAAGGGAUUGAUUUUAUGUUCAGUCACCAAGAUAACAUUUUUUAACAAGUAUAUCAUAAAAACAUGUCAUUGAUAAUUUCACAACAUACAUGAAGAGAAAAAGAAAAUUCUAACAUAUUAUAUAUAUAUAAGAUUUAAAUAUGCAACAACUAUACAUAUAUAGAUUUUGAUAUAGAUUCUAGAGGAGGUUUAGAUAAAGUAUAAAACCUUUUUUUACGAGAAUAUUAAAUGUCUAACAAAUAUUAUCUAAAUGAAUAAGAAUAAUAUAAAAAAAUUAUAUUAUUCACUCUAAUAAUAUUUUUAAAGGUUUAGGGUUUAAACUUCCGUUAACAGUAUACAGUUUUUUAUUACUUAUCUGUGAAACAACCACAACCACUUGAAGAUCAAUAUUACACGCAAAACAACUUAUACUAAUAAUUAUAUUUUAAAUUUUAUUUAAUUUAAUAAAUACAAUUUGUAAAAUAAGAUUUACAUUUACAUAUAUAAUAAAAAAAAUUAUCUCUAUCUCUUAUCAAGAUGAGAUUUUAGUUUUUAAUUCUAUAAGCAAUUCUAAAAAGUAAGUUGUACUUUUUUAGUAAAUUAAGAUAAAAAAUUGCGAUGAAACUUGAUUAAAACUAUACUUAUUUUAUUUUUUUUUUAUUAUACAUAUAUACAUCUCAUAGAUUUCUUUUUUCUUUUUAUUCAUUUAUAUUAUCAGUGUUACAUUGUUAUAUUGUUUAAGAAAACUAAUUAAAUGAUAUUUGAAGGUCUUGACCGAAAAAUUGACGGGUCGUUAUCUCAUAAAAGUCAAAUACAAUUAUAAAAAAUAAGAUGAAAGAAUAAAAAAGUUUUAAUACAUAGCAAAUUCAAUUGGAUAAGUCCAAAAUAUUAAGAAUAUAUUUAGUAAAUAUAAAGUAUAAAACAAAAAGUUCAAUAAAAUUGAUAAAGUCCAAUAACUAGCACUAUAAAUAGGUGAUUUUCGUAAGAGUUGGAAGAUGGACUUUGUUUUUUCUGCCAAUUUAGGCAUAAAUAUGGAUAAGGUCGUUAAUCGGCCGAUCAACUUCUGAAUUUCCUUUAUAUUUUCAGGAUUUCGCAUUUCAAUGAUAGUCCUACAUUUUUAUGGUUUGUUUCGAUGACACGGUGAGUGAGCAUGAAGUCCAAAAUUUUAUCAUAUUCUACCUCGAAUGCACAAUUGUCGAGAUUGAGUCGCAUACCAUGAUAUUUGAUAGCUUUGAAAACUUUCUUGAGAUCUUGAAUGUGUUGGAUGCACGAAUCAAAUUUCAUGACUAUGUCGUCGACAUAAACCUCAUCGUUUCGAUCAAGCAUUCCCUUGAAGAUUUGAUCCAUCAGUCAUUGGUAGGUUGCUCCGACAUUCUUUAGGCCAAAUGGCAUGACUUCAUAGUAGAAGUUAUCACAAUCGGUCACGAAGGCAAUCUUUUCCUUAUCCCUUAGAUGCAUUUGCAAAUGAUUAUAUCCGGAUUAUGCAUCUAAGAAACUCAAAAUGUGGUGAUCGCCUACCCCAUCAACGAGACGAUCGAUGCUUGACAAAGGGUAAGCAUCCUUCAAACAAGUUUUGUUGAGAUCGGUAUAAUAGGUGCACAUUCUCCAUUUACCAUUACAUUUUUUCACCAUAACCAUAUUUUUCAGCCAUGUGGUAUAUUGUGCUUUUCUGAUGAAAUCGACUUUCAAGAGCUUGUCGGUUUCAUUCUGUGCGGCAUCGCGCUUCUCUUUGCCUAUCUUUCUCUUCUUCUGGGCGAUCGGUCGUGCCCAUUUAUACAUUGAGAGACCAUGUGUAAUAAUAUCCAGAGUUACCCCUGACAUGUCAGAGGUGGUAUAAGAAAAUAAGUCAACAUUUCCGAUAAGUGUUUGACUUACCAUUAUGCUGUCGGUCAGCGUUUGCGAUGUCCCCAUAUGUGUUGAAUGUGCAUCAUCUUGUAAGGGUAUUGGGCAUAGGUCUUUGACCGACUCGAACAAGCAUCAUUCAGUCUAGGAUCCAGAUCUACUAAAGCAACCAUGUGCUCCUUCCUGAGAGUUCUCGAUUCUCGGAACUAGUCUCUGUUUGUCCCUCACGAUCUUUGUGAUUGUUCUCUUUAUUGAUCACGGGAUCGUCCCCGUGGUGACUCUCUGUGACAUGGUUGGUUUGUUGGUUCGUCCUUUAAGCAGACAACAUAGCACUCUCGUGCUGCCUUUUGAUCCAUAUGUAGUAUGACUAUGUUGCCCGAAGCAAAUGGAAACUUCAUGGCGAGAUGUGGAGUUGAAGCUAUUGCUCUAAGAAAUUUUAUGGACGAUUGCCUAAGCAAAAUAUAAGGUGUUGGCGUUUACAAGUAGAUGCCUUAUUUUAAUGGUUCUACAGAGGUACCUACCCUCACCAAAGGUGGUAUAUAAAUUAAUAUGCCCUCGCGUAUCCACUCGUUCACUAAAACAAUCUACUGUCUGGUAAUCAUAUGGUUGGAUAUCUGUUUCUGAGAUCCUCAUUUUUUUCAGGUUUUCCAAUACAGAAUGUCGACCGAACUCCCUUGAUCCACAAAGGUCUUGGUGAUGCGAAGUUUUCGAUUCGAUGGUGAUGACUAUGAGGUUGUCCUAGACAGAGUCAAUAGCUAUGAAGUCAUCAUCAGUGAAGAGUAUUAAGGGUAUUCUUGGUCGGUCUCUAAUUGUGAUCGAGUGCACUGAUUGAAUAGCCCGUAGAUGUUUCUUACGAACAAAACUCGAACACCCUCCAUGUGCAAAUCCUUUAGCAAUUGUGUUAAUCACCUCAUGACCGCUUCUUCUUGAAGGAUCGACCUACUUAGGGGUUUCGCUCCUUCGUUGUUGCUUUGUUGGGCAUAGAUCAUCGUCAUGAUAACACCAAGAGUAAGAUUUCCCUUGUUCAUCCCUUCGAGGGUACUUCUCCCUCUAUGGGGAUCUAUGAGAAUUCUUGUUCAUACCUUGGACGAAUUUGCGCAAAAAGGUCAACUUGAAUGAGCUCUUCAAUCUUGUCUUUUAAUGUUUGACAUUCUUCGAUUGUAUGGCCAAAUUUGUGAUGGUAUCAACAUUGCAUGGACAUAUUUGUACCCUUUGAGUUUUGUAAAUUUUUGAGUGUCGGGAUGGGAUCGGCAUUCAAUGUUUCGUCCAUGAUUUCCUUCUAUCAGCAUUCAAUUGGGUAUAAUUGUGAAACCUCGCCUUGAUUUUCUUUGUACUUGUCGAAUUGUCCAGGCGCAUGUUUGUCACCUCGAUCAUUUUCUUUUCCUUUACCUCCACUAGUAUCCGCUAGAAAAUUAUUGCAAUAAUCACGCACUUCUUCCAAUUACAUUAACUUAGUCGUUCGUUGUCUCUGUUCGUCUAAGUUUUGUAUUGGUUACUUACAUAGAAUUUCAGCAAACGAGCCUGAUCGAAGUGUUGUGACCAAGUGAUGUAUGACCACCUCUAGAUUGAGGUUCUUGGUAUUCAAGGAUAACUUGUUAAAUUUCGCUAUGAAUGCUCAAAGUGAUUCACCUUUCUCUUGUCAUUUAUUGACAAAAGUUAUUGAUGUAAGAUGAUGCGGUUGACUCGUUGCAAAUUGAGUGUCGAAUUUGGUUAAUAGAGUUUUGAAGCUAUCCACCGAGUCAGAUGGAAGUCUUACGAACCAACUAAGUGCUCCUCCUUUCAGCAAGGUGAGGAACACUCAACACCAUACUGGUUUAUCUGAUGUGUAGAUGGUCAUCUUUGUCUUAUACACAUCAAUGUGCUCGUCCGGAUCUGUGGUAUUGUCAUACCGAUUGACAUUCAAUUCGUUCCAGUUGGGAGGGAGUUGUGCUUCCAUAAUUUCAUGUGAAGGGAUUUCCAUUCAGAUCAUCUUCUAUGAUGUGAGUGCGCUCGGUGUGCAAUCUGGAAGAUUGAUAAGUCUAAGUUUAGGUUGUAACUGUUCUCUCUUGGUUCUAUGUGUGCUCGCUUAUCAAAGGAGAAGGUUGCCUUUGUUGUCUACGCCCGACUCCUAUGUAGGACCGACUACUUGUCGCUUCAUCUCUUUGUACUGUUCCUUAAGGACUUGCAUCUCCUUUUCAUUCUUCUGGCUAAGGGUCACCUCCUCUUUGUUCUUUUGGCAUAUUUCUUCCAUCUUUUUCUGUAGAGUCUGGAACUUAGCAAUCUGAUAUGCCUCUAAAAUCUUUUCAUUCGCCAUCUGUCUUGUCGAAACUAUUGUUGCUUGUUGUAAUUCUAUCUCGACCCCAUAGUGGACGCCAAUUCUACUUGUAUAGACAAAGUGAGCCUUGAUAUAUAGUACUUGAGAUUGACUGUAACAAUUUUUAUCAGUGUCAGUCACUCGAUAAUCGUGUCCUCGAUCGUGCUCCCUUAUUCUCCAACUCUUCCACUCCUUCAGGAUUCAACACUUCAACUCCUUAAUGCUCAAUUGAGAGUAAACCUGGAAAAGAUUCUCCAACAACCAAGUAAGUACUCUAUAUUAAGAGUGUAUGAUGUAAAUCUGAAAAACAUACCUUACUCCUUUGUAGAAGACUUAUUUAUAAUGUUUGGUAAUUAACUAUUUGAUUCAUGGAUCAUCUCAGACGCAUAUCUUCAAUAAGUCAAUGCUAGCUGAUUUUUCAAGAGGUCACUUAGAUUUGGUGGGGUGUAACCUAGAUAUAUAGGAUAUUUCUUUACUUGUAAUUUAUUGUCAAUUUGUUCUUUAAUGUGGUGGAUCACUCGGUUGGUCGGUCAACAAUAUUGAGUGACAUAUAUCUCACUCGGUCCACCAAUACAGAAAGAAAAUAAAUAUUUUCAUCAAUAAGUUAGAAAAGAAAAAUAAUAAAAAUCUGUAAUAAUAAAAAUCAAAUUAUAUAAUACUUAAUAAAAAAUAUUUAAAACAAUUUUUAAUAAAAGUUGAAUUAAAAGUACUGAAAUAAAUCACUAACUUAAUUAAGAAAAAAAAAAACAUGUUCUGCGUGGGAAGCCACGUCCAUCCAUGUGACAAGGCCAUGCACGCCACCUGCUUGUGUUUAUACAAACUGUUACACGCAACAAAAACCAGUGGCCAUGUGGACUGUACUCCAAAUUCCAAAACCCAAAAGGCCAAUGCCUUUCUCUGCUGCUCCCAUGCCCACCCUCCAAAACCAGCAAUCCUACCUUUACAAGCAAACCCUUUUUAUGAUCAUCUUCAAAAAUCAUCUUCAAAAAUCACAACCACCACUUUCUUCUUCACUCCCUUUCAUUAAUAAUCCCCCUUCCAACUUUUCAUUCUUACUGUAAUUCUCACCAAUAACACUUUUUAUAUUCUUUUAGGGUUUCUGAAUCAGAGUAUCUAUAAGUUUUGUUCAUCACUAAGUUUUUGCCAUAAUAUCCUCAUUGCAUCACCAUCAAUCCUAUUUCAGUUAACUUUUUAAUCUUUUGUACCAUUUAAAAAAUAAUAAUAAUAAUAUGUUCUCUAAUGUAUAUUUUUUUCUAUUUUUGUACAAUAGUGAUAGCAGUAAUACAUUAUAAACACAAUCAAUAUCAUUUAUCAAUAGCAUACUCGUAAUCACUUAAUAAAACAUUAUCAUCUUCUAUAAAUAAAAGCUUAAUUUUAAGCAGAUACGUAAGUAAAGCUUUGUUUAAAGUAGUUAAUAAUAACGAUUGGCUUAUAUAAGAUUAAAAAAAAUCAAUUAUGGGACCUUUGAAAAUGACCUCUGCAAGCCCAUGCACGACCAAAGCAUUUAUAAGCAUAUUAUUAUAAAUAAUUAUCAAAGUUUUUUCGUCCUAAUCUUAAAAUAGCACAACUUAAUUUAUUUUUUUUAUCAAUUUUUGUUUAUAGCAACAUGGCAAUUCCUGCAGGCCAUUAUUCGUUGAUGCCACACUAAUUAAUAUUAUAAUUACUUAAAUUAAUGACUUGCAUUACCCUAAUUCAUUAUUAAACUUACACUCAAUCAUCAACCUCGAUCUUCUCCCAAACCUGUACAUUAAAAUAAAUAAAAAUGUUACAACAGAAAAUGAUAAUAAAGACAAAUGCUGUUUUCAAACAUUAUAAAUUGUAUGCAUUUAUUUAUACACACUAGAAGUUUGUGUGAUCACUAUUUUUUUUUACUCAAAUAUUUUCAUUUUUCCUUUAUAACAUAUUUGUCUGGGUAGGAUUGAAAUUAAAAUACUAAACUAAAUUUUCAUAAUGUACGUUAGAAAAAAAGAAAGAAAAAUAAGAUAUUUUUGUGAUACUCACUAAAAACUUCUCCGGGAAAAGAUCUAUUUUUUUCCUUUUUUUCAAAACUAUAAUAUAAAUAGAUUUAAAAGUUGUAAAAUAGUUUCAUAUUAAAAAAAAAUAUCUUUAUAUAGCUUCCUUUAUUUUAUUUCACUUUUUUUUCCCUUUUAUUUAAGACUUUGUUUGCAGAAUCCGAAAGAAAAUGGAGGAGUGAAAAAAAUAAAGUAAAAAAAUAAAUUUUUUAAAUAAAAAAAGAGUAAAAAUAAUGAAAAAUAUUUUUCAUUUAAUUUAUUCUUAAUAAAUUUAUUUUUGAUUAGUUAUUAUUAUAUCAUAAUUAAUUAUAACUGAUUAUGUUACAAGUUAUAAUCAAUUAUAUACAAAUAUGAUUUAAAAAAUUCUAUUUUUGAGCAAUUUAAUAUAUCAUGUAUCUAACAAAACUAUUAUAUUUCAACACAAAAACUUCUAAUACGAAAUUCACAAUACUUUUUUUUUGACAUCACUAUCAACACAAACAAAUCAAUAUAAUAAUUUCUAAAUCUCCUUUCUAUAUUAAUAUUAAUUUUUAAUGUCACGAAUUAAGUCUAAUUGAAAAAUUCAUAGUUAGUUAUCAUAAUUACUGAAUUUGAACUUCAGUUUAAUUUCAUUAAUUUAUGUCUGAAACUAAGAGAUUGUAGUGUCAUAACCUAAUUCGAUAUUGUUUACAAGUGAUCAUCUGACGAUAUUCAUAUUUAAGAACAUUAAUAUCAUAUCAACACAAAUAAAAAAAAAACUAUAGAAUAUAAAAAAAAUAAGGACAUAACAUUUAAUGAAACAGACCAAUAACAAAAUCAAAUAAAAAAAAGUAAUUAAGACAGAGAUUUUAAUAUAUAUUAAAAAAAUACACGGAAAAAAAGAUAAAUUAUAUAAUAAUUAAGAAUUUACGUAUUAUUGACUACACUUAUAAAUAUUCCAGAUUGAGAUCUCAAUUUCAUUGUGUGGAACAAUUUCCAUCCAGCAUAAAUAAGUGAAAAACAAUCUAGUUUUUUUUCAUUUCUAGCUAUUCAAAUAAAAUAUGUAUUUUUUUUAGUUGAAGUUACAAAAGAAGCAGUUUGAUGAAUAACUUGCGUUUCCCCAAAGAUGCGUUGCUAUUAUUUUAAGUCAACCCUUGUGUCUAUCAAUGUCACUCACAUCAAAACUUACUACAAUUUUUAUGCUUCCCAUUCCCAUUUAUAACCAACAAAACGCACACCUUUCGGUAAAAACUCUAACUUUCUCUCCCUCUCUUCUUCUUCUUCUUCAUGCUCGCUCUUGCCAUGGCCCUCGAUCACCAACCCUCCUUGUUGCCGUGGCAGCCCCGCCGGAGGAUCCCCAUCCUCCGCCGCCGGAAGGUGCAGACUGUGCGGCUGGGCGCCAAGAAGCCACGCCGCCGAAUUUUCGGGCUUUUUAAGAUGUUUCGAAAGAUGCGUUUAAGGUGGCUCAAGUUGCAAUAUGUUCGCAUGUUGAAGAGGCUCAAGGAACACUACCGAAACCUUGUUAAGGAUCUUGUCGAAGCUGGGUCCACCAUUGAAACCUUUCACCAACGUCUUUUCAUGGAUAGCACUUUUGCAAUUCCCGUUGGGGUUAACUUAUCUACCUACCCUUCUCGUCUUGGAUCAGAUCGCCCUCGAACCAUCUUCAUGUAAAGUUCUUUUUUUUUUAAUUUAUUUCUCUUUUUAUUUCCCUUUUAACCUUUCUCUCUAUUUUCUUUUAUCAUAUUUAUAUGUAUUUAUAUUGGAAGACAAAGUAUAAGGAAGCCCAAGUUCCUUGUAUUUGCAUCCUUCCAUUUGUAUUAUUCUUGAAAAAAAAAACCUCCUUUCUUCUUCUUUUUCUUCUUCCUCUUUUUAAUUAUGGUUUUAUUUUUACAAACUUGUGCAAGAGUUAUAUAAAGGGAAUAUAAAACAGUUGGGUUCCCUCAUCAUCAUCAUGAGGUGAUCAUGUUCAAGUUUGUUUCUAUGGAAAUUAACAAUAUCCAUAAGAGAUUAAUCAUCUUUGUUGGUGCCCGGUUGGAGUUGACCUGAAAAAGGUAUUCUGAUGAUCAAGUACUCUAUAUAUGUAAAGAGUGUAUAUUUAUAAAACUGAUAAAAACAUACCUUACACCUCUAUGAAAGGUUUAUUUAUAGUGUUUGGUUAUAAGCCCUUAUUGUGAUGGGCCAGAUGUAUCAAAUAUCAGUUGUUAACUGAUUUAUAGCAUGAUCUCAUAUUCAUAUAUUGCUAUAUUGGUAUAAUUGGAUAAUAUCUUUAAUAUCUUUCACUUACUCAGUGUUUAACUGAUCUCUCGAAGAUGUCACCUGUGAACCAUGAUCAUAAUUCGUAAAAAAAUUUUAUAAUUGUUGUUAUUGUCAUUUAUUAAGUAUCUUAAAUGUGUUGUCAAUUGGUGACGGAAAUUAAAUGACUAACUCAUCCUAUAUCGAGGAACAAUUUUUUUUAUCUACAUUAUAAUUUUGGAAAAUUUGAUGCGUAUGAAUAUUGGCUCCAGCAUUGUUGCAACAAUCAAUAAUGUUUCAGAAGUCGUGUGUUAACGUAAUAAUUAUUCUCCAAAAAAUAAAUGGUGGAAUGCGAUGUGUGUGUUGUUCAACUUAUUCUCUUUGACCAUGGAAAAUAACAUAUUUGGGAAGAAACAUGGCACUUAAUUUAAAAAUUCCAAUAAAGCCAAAUGCGAUUUGCUUAGGCUUUGUUUGCCACAUUGGACAGAGAAGUAAAACAAUAAACUUAUGGUCUAUUUUAUUAAUAUUUUUACUGAAAAUCGAUAUAUCAUUUUGAUAAUUAUUGUCAGAUACUAUAAAGAAAUGUGGGAUUCAGAAAAAAAUAUUGUGGUGACUUCAACAAAAUAAGUAUGCCAGACUCAACAAAUAAUAGAAAUGUUAUUUUUACAACAUUAGUGUGUUAGGAAUAAAUUUUAAUUUAAUGUUUACUAUAAAUUAAGUUUUAAAACUUAAUUUUACGAAAUUUCUUAAAAUAUUGGUAAAGUUCGUUUAAUAAGAAUUGAAAAACAUAAUAUAUUUCGAUCAAUAAUUUAAAAUUUAAAAAUAUAUUAGAAAAGUACGUGACUAUAAUAUAAACAGUGAAAAUAAAAAAUAUUAAAUAGUUUUUCCUGUGGCUUAUUAAAUGGUUUAUUAUAUGUAAUCUGUUACACCAGCAUAAUCCCUGUUCGUUGAAAAAGAUUGUAAGCGACAAAAAAUUAUUUCCUGAGGUUUUUUUUUCCUCUUAGCUAAUCUUAUUAAAUAAAAAUAAAAUAUUUUUUAUUUAUUUUCAUUGAUAAAAUUCUGAACAAAACAAAAUUUACUUUUGCAUUGAAUGAUAUUAAGUAAGCAAUUAUUAGUAACUUGAUAUAAAUAUUAUUUGUAUAGUGCUUUUUAAUCUUCGUACCACAUUCAUCAAUAUGAGAUUUUUUUUUCGCUUUUCUUAUUUUUUUUUCAUGUUAUUUAUUUUAAUUUCCUCGAAUUCAAUUAGAAUGACAACAUUUGUUAGUUCUUCCUAACCAAUCAAUAAGAUGAAGAAAUAUUUAUCUUAAUUUUAUAUUUUUGUAACUUUCUUUUUAGUCUUACAAUGGUAAAUUAUUGGGAAUAACAUGAUUCUUUCAAUUAGAAAAAAAAAAUACCAUAGUUAUUUUAUAACACCUAUAUAGAUGAGAUGAUUGAAGUGAAAAAUAAAUAUUCCAUUAAUUUUUUUUUUCUCUUCAGGUAAAUUUCUUGAAAAAUAGGAGAUUUCAAGAAAAGAGAAUUUACAUUAAAUUCAAUGAGAUAUUCCAUAUAUAUCUUCAGAAAAAUAUGUUUCUUUAUACGUGUUUUGAAUUUAAGUUAUGAAAUUAAUUAAGUUAAAUUUAAUUGAAAUUUUAAAAAUUAUUAUAAAUUUUUAAUUAAUUAGAAUUUAAAAUAAAUGAAUAAAAAAAAUAUGAAACCUAUUAAGACGUAGGGUAGAAUAGAAAUUAAAAAAUAGUUUGUAUUACAAAUACACCCUACCUCCAUAAUUAUUUCUGAAACACGCUACAAAAAACAAAUUUAUAUUUCAGUAAUACAAUCCAAUGAUUUGAGUAUAUUAUUAUUUAUGCAAUACAAUGGUACUAUAGUGUAAGCAGAACUUAAAAAAUAGGGAAAAUUACGAAAAAUUUAUCGUAAGCAUAUGCGUCACUGCACAGUGCCUAUUUAAUAGUGGACAUAACGAAACCAACAAUGCAUCAGAAUAAUCUUUUCGCCUCCAACCAAACAUUACUCCCUUCGUUUUUUAAUAGAAUAAAUUUUCUUAAUUUUAAUAGAAUCUUUAUAUUAUUUUUUAUUUUACAUCACUGUAAAUAUUUAUAUACAAAUUAGUUAAAAAUAAAAUAUAAAAUAAGGAUAUAAAUAAUGUUGUAGUAUAGAAAUAACAUUUAAAAAUAAAAAUAGGGGUUUAAUAUAUUUUUUGAUAGUGUAUUAUAACGUGAAUUUUUUUUUUCAUAGUAUAUGAUCUCUUGACAAACAAAUUUUUAAUGGAAAUUGUAUUAUAAUAUUUUAAUAUUCAUCUAAGUGAUAGAACAUAUAUUAUGAAAUAUUUUAAAAUUUUAAUCUAUAAUUAAAAUGUAAAAGAAACUAAUAAAAAUACAUUUAGUAGUUUUCUUACUACUACGAAUACAUUAGAAUAGAAAAAAAGAAAAUCAAUUUUAUACGAAAGUACAUAUGUGAGAACAAUAUAUUUAACGCUAAAAAUAGAGAUAGUGUUAACAAUCAAUGUAAUUAUUAGCAUAACUACGUGUUAAAAUUUGUAGUUACUUAGAGUGAUUAUUUUCUACAUUAGGAUAAAGAAGAUCCAAUCGUUUAAUUAUGCACCGAUCAGGGGAAUUUUCAUUGCAUCCAUAAAAAGUGGGUGUAACAAUUUGUAACUUUUUAUGGUUGUAUGAUGCUAUUUUUUUUAUCAGUGAUUGUUGUAUGAUGCUAUUUUUUUAUGAUUGAUACAAAAGUGUUACGAUUAAUUAGGAACUAGAUCAUUUUGAUAAAGAAGGAUAUGGGUGCUAAAUUUUAUGUAAUCGACAUUAAUAUUCAUAGAAAAAGAUUUGAAGGUAUUUUGGAAUUGUCUAUGCUAACUUAUAUCAACAAGGUUUGAAGGUAUAUUUUGGAUUUAUUUAUGGUAACUUAUAUACAACAAAGUGUUUUAGAGAGGUUUAAUAUAAAAAUUUGUUGAUUAAAUAUGAGUUCCAAUGAAGAGUGAUCAAUUUGAACUAAGUCAUCCCCAGAAAAUUUAGUUGGGAAGACGUGAAAAAUAUUUAAAAUGCUUUAGUUAUUGGAAUAUGCUUAUGUCCUCACAUUGCAUCUGCACCGUUAGAAUUUUGAUUGAAAAGAUAUAUAAGAGUAAUCUAGCUGGUGACCACUCUAAAGAUGCAAAGAUGAUAAUGAGAUACCUUCAAUUGCAUGUUAAGGUAUUGAUAAAUUGAUGAAGCUGAUAAACUAUUUUGAUUUAAACUUCGCUAGCUCUGUUAAUAUUAAGAAAUCUAUAUGUUAGUUACGUUUUUUUUAUCAUAAUUUUAUAUUGUGAUAACUUUUGUUGUUGUUGUAUCUAUGAUUCAAAAUGACAAGAGUAAAAGUGAUCAACCUUAAGUAUCAAACCAUAAGACAACUUUAAAAAAAAUAAAAACAAAGUGGUCACUGAGUUGAUGAUUAUCUAUUAUUUAAGUAAAUGCAUACAUGUUCUUAUAGAAUUCUAGGGAACUUGUAACACAAAUAGAACUAUUCCAUGAUGAGAUAAUUAUGGUAAUAUGUAUUUCAAAAAAGUGUUUGAUAUUUUCUCAUUUAACUUUGUGACAUAUUUGAUUUUUUAUUUUGAAAAAAUAUUAAAUCUUAUUGAAAAAGAGUGUGGUUCAUUUUAGAUAGAAGGUGAGAUAUUUCUAGAAGUCGAGUUUAAAUCUUAUAAAAUUUAUCAUUGGAUUGUUGAUGAAGACCGAGAAAAGAUCCACUUACUGCAUAUUUUUUUGACACUAAAGUCAGUAAGAACUAAAAAAUUAUAGAAUAUAUAAAUAUUGAAGUGAAUAAAAGAAUUGAUAGAAUACUCUUAUAGGAUCAAUAUGUAUUUAAAAACUAUUGUGCGUAAACUGAAAAUAUCCAAAAGAUAAUUAAGAUACAAUUCAUUACCGAGUAAUUGUCAUUCAAUGAGUUAUGAUUGUUGUUAUAUAUAUCCAAAUUAUUCGAAUAAUAAAAAUAUUUUGUGAUGUACAAUUAUAAAUAUAUAUCUUAAUAUCUCGAAGUUGAGUUACGUAGUCUUCAAGCUUGGAAUCCAUAAUUUUUUUUUAUCAGCAAUAAAAUAAAUAAAUAGGGACCACUUCAGGGGUGGUCCAAUACUUAUACAUAAAUACCUAACAAUAACUCCUAUUAGAACGCCUGUCUACCAGUUUGUCAAAUGGGCUACCAGACCAACACUACCCAAUAUUACAUAAUCAACCUCAUACAGUCCAAAGGAUUUAAAACCCAACUAGAAUACGGGAAAUAAGAAAAACGAGAUUUCGCAUGAAUCCAAGACUAUACCUUAACUUGCACUGAAGCGAACACCUCAGACACAUCUGCCACUCCACUUUUAAAGAUGACCGAGUUCCUAAUAUUCCAAAUUUCGCUCACAAUGCCAACCCAAAUUAAACCCCAAACGUCGUUAACCGAAACAGAAGCCUGACUCAUCCUGAAUUGUGCAAAAUUUGACUUAGGGUCUUUGUGAAAAACAAACGACACUCCAAGCCACUCAAAGCACAAACACCAGAUACGCCAAGCAAACCUGCAAACAAAGAAGAAGUGACACGACGACUCCUCCUCCUCCCCGCACAAACAACACAAUGAACUUUCCACCGCCACUCCACGCCUUACCAAAUUAACCCUUGAGGCAAUCCUAUUCUCCACCACCCUCCAAGCAGUGAACAAAGCAGAAGGCAAGGCUUUACACCUCCACAACUUACUGUGCUCAGGAGAAAAUUCUCCUCCUCUACCCCGCCUUACCUGAACAUAGGCAGAGUUGACUGAGAAAGUUUGACUUUCCCCAACCUUCCAAACCCAACAGUCUGCCUCCGCCAAAGUCAACUUCACCUCUUGCAAUAACUGAACUAGCUGUUCCACCAAAGACUUCUCCCAGUCGAAAAAGGAUCUACGCCAUUCCAGAUUCCACACCCAAACACCAUUAUACCAAUAACCAAGCUCAGCCACUUCUGCGUCUUUGGCCGAACUUAUAGAGAAAAGUCUUGGAAAAACUCCCUUCAAAUUACCGCAGCCCAACCAAUUGUCCUCCCAGAAAGAUAUCUCCUUACCGUCCCCCACUUUCCACUUAACCCCAUCUUCAAAACUUCCGCCCCAACCCUCUGAAUUCCACACCUCCUUCAGAUCUUUCCACCAGAGAGAACCCCUAUUAGACCUACUAUCUUCUCUCAGACUUCUCCAACCUCCGUACUUAGAAUCGAGGAUGUCUUUCCACAAACCUCCACUAUCCGUCCCUAGUCUCCAAAUCCACUUUCCUAACAAAGCCAAGUUAAAAAUCCUAAGAUCAAUGAUUCCAAGACCUCCAAAAUCUCGAGGCUCGCACACCUUAUCCCAAGAAGCCCAAGCAAUCUUCCUUCCAUUAGAGCCCCACCCCCAAAGGAAAUUCCUUCGGAUCUGAACUAACUUGUCAACCACCAAAGAAGGCAGUUUAAAUAAAGACAUAAAAAAUAACGGGAUUGAAGAGAGAACAAACUUGAUCAAACAAAUCCUCCCUGCAAUCGACAAGCACCUGCCUUUCCACCUAGCUAGUUUACUCUGGACUUUCUCAACCACCCUGUUCCAACAAGCGCCGCGCUUAUGACACCCUCCUACUGGUAAACCCAAGUAAACAAAGGGAGUUACCAUCAUAUUACAAUUAAGAAUAGCCGCGAAACGUUGUAGCGAGCUCGAAUCCAACCCCAGUCCUCCCAAUCUGCUUUUCAAGAAAUUCACUUUAAGCCCAGAAGCAAGCUCAAAACAGAGCAAAAUCGCCUUAAUGUUGAAGAUACUUUUGGUGUUAGCUUCACAAAAGAAUAAAGUAUCAUCAGCAUAUUGCAACAUAUUCACCUUCACUCUAGCUCUUCCGAUCUCCAAACUAUCAAUUAAACUCUUCUCCUCUGCCAUCCUAGAGACUCCAGCCAACCCUUCUGCUACUAAUUUGGUGAAUAAACGAGUUUCCGUGUUUGUCGAGUUUCAACUUGAGUAAUAAGUUCCAAUAUUGUAUUUUCACAAUCAUCUUUUAAAGGUUGAUGUUUUGCAAUCUUUCAUGAGACCGAGUGUAUUUCGUUAGUAUAAUGUAUAUCAUAAUGGUGUGAUACUUAAUGUGCAUUAGUGAUGUGUUUUCAUCAUUAGUGAUGUGUUUUCAUCUUUAAUGAUGAGUACCACAAAGAAAUCAACUCCUAAAAAAUGAAAAGAAUGAUCUUACCACAUCAUCAAUAAGAACCUUAACCUUAACUUACAUAGACUAAUUCUAAGACCAAAACCUCAACUUACAUAGACUAAUUCUAAGACCAAAACCUCGUACACAAGAAAAUGCAAAAUUGACUAAAAAAAAGAAAUGAUACAAAAUUUACUCUAAAUAGAAAUCUAAUCAAACAAAUUUAUUCUAUUUGUUAUUAAAAAUCCAAAUGUAAUUUUUGAAGAUAAAAUAAAAUAAAAUUCUAAAAAUAUAAUAAUUAUAUUAAAAUAAAACAUAUAAUCAUGUGAACUUUUUAUUUUAAUAAAAAAUAUUUAAUAUUAUUUUAAUUAUAUACUUGUAUUCUAAAAUUAUUUUCAAAUUUUUUUAUCAGCAAUUUUAAAAAGACCAGUACCAUUAACAAUAUUGCAAUUCAACCUGUAAGUUUUGUUUUUUUUAAUCAUUAUGCAUGGACGAGAAGUGUAAGUUCUGUAUGUUUGGCUUUGAUGUUACAUCAAGCCGUGAAAAUUUUGAAGUAAGGAAAAAAGAAGAAAAAAUAAAAAUAAAAAGUUUAAAAACAUAAAAAAAAAAAUAAGANNNNNNNNNNNNNNNNNNNNNNNNNNNNNNNNNNNNNNNNNNNNNNNNNNNNNNNNNNNNNNNNNNNNNNNNNNNNNNNNNNNNNNNNNNNNNNNNNNNNGUGUUCUAUAUAUGUUGUUUCUUCUUAGAUGUAGAAGAUCAAGAGAAAUAGAAAGUGACUUCUCAAUUGAUUUCCAUCAACUACCAAACUCAUUUUAUAGCAUUGACUUCUAUGUAAUGAAUGUUCCUCGUUUUGCAAGAACAUUAAAGAACUUAAAAUUGAGGCAUGCUUACGUAAGAAAAAAUCAUAAUAAUUAAUAGUUAAAACUUGAUUACUAAUUAAAUAUUAAUUUAAAAACUAUUUAAUAAUAAUAUAAAUUAAUUUAGAAAUCAAUUUUUUAUUUAGUUUCUAAAAUGAUAUCUAAUUUAGUUAAUUACUAUUGUAACUAAUUAUUUUGGUCUCUAAAAAUUGGUUUUUAUUUCAUGAUUUUCUUGUAGUGUUUUAAAUUGUUGAAAAAAUAUAAAAUAUGUAUUCCAGUAUUAUUAAUAUAGUUUUACUUCGCUCAGAAGUUGAGGUUGAUGACAUUUUAUAUACUUCUCUCAUCAAUUCAUCGAUGCCAUUAACGUUACCUAUGCCAGGUUGUUUCCUGUUGUCUUCAUCUUACUCAGUUUUUUUGUUUCUUCAACAGUUUGAGAAAAAAAAAUACAUUAACUCACUUCUUUUCAUGUUUAUGUGUGAUGGAGUUUUCUUCUUUUCAAGGAACAAAUCACAAAAGCAUGGCCACAGAUUAAAAAUAUUAAAGACGGUGAAAACUAUAUUUAAGACUGUGUGAGAUUCCCAAGUCAAACACAUUCCAUCUUCAUAGCCUGGUGAAUAAAGGAGGUGAUUGUGACCUUUUCUUGUACAGAUUACAAGUUCAUUAAUUAAAAGUCUGAAAAUAAAGAUAUAACUGGGAUUAUUCUUAUUGAAUUUUGUAAAAUAAAAUUCAUAAUUAGAUUAUACGUAUAAUAUCAGAGUUUAUCAUGAUAGUCCAAAAAUGUAUAAAAAUCUCAUAUUAAUUGUAGAAUGGAAAAAAGUAAAUACAUAGAGAAAAAUCUUCAUUUUCGUAAGUUAAUUUUAUAAAAUGAAAAUAGACUUAAAGGAAGAUUAAAAAAAUAGAGAAAAAUCUUCAUUUAUUUCAUAAGUUAAUUUUACAAGAUAGAGAUAGAAUUAAAUGAAAUUUGACUUCACAUAAGACUUCACUUUCAAUAAAUAAUUAAACUUGAUAAACAAUCAUCACUAACUGUGAUGGGUAACUUAAGUAUUAAAUAAUAUGUAAUUAGUGAAGCCACAACCAUGGGAUUUGAUUUUUAAAUAUAACUGUAACAUACUUUAGUUAAUAAAAUAAUUUUAUAGAGUCUGAGUCCAACCCAAAGAAACUUAAACUCUGCAGCUAUUAGGCCCAAAACACUUUGUGGCCGUCAAUUUUCAGCUGGGGACCUCAUAUUUAGUAAUGGGAUGGACUUAUGAAAUUGAUAGAGCUUAUUUAUAAUAUAUAUAAAUGAUUGUAUUUUAUAAAUUAAUUUUGUAAAAUUGAAUUAAAUUUAAAAUUUAUUUUUAAUGUGAUAUUAGAGUUAUUUCAGAAUUUAUCUUAAAAAAAUUUUAUUAGCAUUAUUAGGUCACUUGUAAACUAUGUAGCACAUACACUAACACAGACACUGAUACGACAUGGACACGGACACAAAGAUACGUAUAAUCUCUAAAAUGUAGGACACGGGAACACAGAUCUAUAUAUUAUAUAAUUAUGAAUUAUAUAAAUUAACAAUAAAGAUUUAUGUGCACAAGUAUGUUCCAGAUUAUUUUUUAGAGCAGAAAAAUGUUUUUCAUGACUGGUUCAAAAUAAUUUGUUUCUUAUUUUUAUAAUCAUAAUAAAAAUUUAUACAACAAGUUAAGUUUUUAGAAAAUUAAUGUAUUUUUUCUUUUCAAAAUUAUGUUAGAAGCGUACUAAAAUUGUCAGAAAUCCAACAAACACUUUUUGAAUUUGACAUUUUACGAAUACGUGUCAUACAAGUGUCAUAUCAGUAUCGGUAUCCAAUACGAGUAUCCGACACGCCAUUUAAGAGGAGUGUUCGAGCUUCAUAGCUUGCAAUCGUUGUUUUGAAGAAAAAAAAAAUAUUUCUUUAAAUGUUUGAGCUAAUUAAAGAAUGAAAUAAUAAAAACUAAAAAAAUAUUAAUAAUGAAAAGUAUAUUUUUUAUUUGUGAUUUUCUUGUGAACUAGGAAGUAAGGUACAAAGUGGUAGGGUGGGGGUAUUGUAAUCCUAUAAACCCACUAAAAUGUGUUUAAUAUUUGGGAGCAUAUUUUGCACAUGUGGGAACUUUUUGAGGGAAUUUUCUGGUUAUCAUUCCCUCAAAGUGGCUUAUAACUAAGCCACAUACUUAAGUCACAAAUGAAUUAUAUCCUAUAUACUAAGGACCUUUAUGCAAGUUCCAUAAAAUAGCGACAUCACACGAAAUCUGAAAAAAAUAAUAUAAAAGACAUAAGUGGAAUAGAAAGAAAUAGAGACCAACUUUUUAUUUACUCUUUAUAUAACUAUAUUUUUAUAUUUUAGUUCAUUCAUUAGUUUUCUAGUAAUAUAAAACCAACAAGAAAUAGAAACAUGAAAGACAAAGUAUAACAAAUUGUUCAUAGCAUGUAAAUUUUAAAUAUAAAUAAUAUAUCUUCCCUAUCAAAUCCGAAUCCACUAACUUCAUUCAUAUUUUUUAAACACUAAAAACGUCAUUUUCUUCUUUCCUUUACAUUUACACAUGGACUUCAACUUUCCUUUCGCGAAACAUUUCAAUCUAUUUAUAUUUAUAUUACUUACAUUCUUGCUAGUAAAGAAUAUAACAAUAUUUUACUUGAAAAAAAUAAUUAACCAUUUUCGUAUUAAAUUUUUAAUUUAGUUAUCAGAUAUUAAAAUUGUAUAAACUUAUUUUUAUGAAUAUAUAUUUUCACAUUUCAAUCUUCUUUCUACCCCUAUUUCUGUUUCUUGAAUGUAACAUUUUUUUCUUAUUUUUGCAUCUUUAUAGCACACAUUUUUCUAUCAUCUAAAAAUGAUAGUCAUAGCUCUUCAGAACAAACAAAAUUACAUUUGGUGGAGACUAAUAGAAAGACAAUAAAAACUAUACAAAUAAUUUAUAUAUUAAAAAAAUAUUUUACUUUAUAAACUUUUAGUUUGAGUAUCAUUUGUGAUGUUAUUAUGUUUAUCUAAAAGUAGGAGACUUGUGUGAUAUUAUUAUAUUUAUUUGUUUAGUAAUUGGAGUAUGAGGUUUGUGUGAUAUUAUUAUGUUUAUCUGUUUAGUAACUUAAAUUUGGUUGUAGGAAGUAAUUAACUAAUUGUUUUCGAUUUUAUUUAUAAUAAAGUUGGACUACUCUUGAAAUAAUUCAUAUUUAUUUAUUAUUUAUUUUUUUUACUAAUAAAAAAACUUAAAAAUAGAUUUUUUCUUAUGAUAUGUAUGUCCUAUAUUUUAAGAAAAUGUCAUACACUAGGAGUGAUUUGGAACUUAAGAAAGAGAGGGAAAAAGAAGAAGUGAGGAAUGGUUUUAGGGAGAGAAAAAAAAAUGUUAGAAAAUCAAGAAAUUUGUCCACGAUUAAAUUUCAACACAAGAGUAAGAAUUCCGGAAAUAAAUCAUUAGAUUUUUUCAACUAUAUUUCACCUUAAAACAUUCUCAUUUAUCGAUUGGGGACUUCUUUUCUAAUUUUUUAAAUGUAAUAUGUAAAUCAAAAAAUAAUCAUCGUAAAUAAAUAAUAUCAAAUGAAAUAAUAUUAUAAUAGAAACAUUUUCUUCUGAUUUCUUUCUAUUUUUCUUGAAAACCAUCUCCAUUUUUAUAUUUCUCAUAUAUUUUCUUUUUAACUUUUUCCUCCCUACAAAACGGAGUAUACAUGUGGCCUAUGACCAUAAAGUUGGUGGUGAGAACUUGACUUUUAGUUACUUUUAUUAAUAUUGGCUUUUAGUUCUUAUUUUUUAUUAAGGGCUUUUCAAUUUUAUAUUCAUGCAUCAGACCGUGUUAAACUUAUUAUAUACACUGCGAAUAAAAAAGUAAUGUACUUAUUUUAUUAAAUAGAUUAAAUUAUUUAAAAAUAUCAUACAUACGUAUUAUAGUCAAAUGCAAACAUUUAUUAAAGAUAUUAUGUAUUUUAUGAUAUGAAGGGAGAACACUUUAAAUAUUUGUGGGGUGGUAAAAGAUGUUUUCCAAAUCAUACAACUAACUACUCCAUUGAUGAUAGUUUUCUCAAAUUCUUAAUAUUAUUGGAGACAAAACCUCACAACAUUAAAAUAAUUGUUUGUAAUCUUUUUAAAAAGAUUAAAUAUAUUUUUUAUUCAUUAUAAUAUAAUAUAAUACGAAAAUGAUUUUUUAAUCUAAUUCAAACUUUAUAUCUUUAAGAUAUUUAUAAUAAGAAAUCCAUUGAAAUGACUUUUUAUCAGUGUUUUGUUUUAAGCAAUAAAUGAAUUUUCAGUAUUAAUUAUAUUAUAAUAUUAUAAUAUUAACAGGUAAUUUUUUUUUUUUAUAAAAAUUUAUUUCAAUAGUUUUUUUACUACAAAUAUUUAAUAUGUCUAGAAUUUGAACUAUAAAUAAAAACUAAUUACGCAUGAAAGUACAAGACAAAAAAUAUAUUUAAUACAAAUAUCUAGAAUCGAAUGUGAUUUUGAAAAUUACAUUUAAAAAUAAUUGUCAGUACAAGUAAAAUCAUUUUUUGUUAUAAAUUCUUUUAUGUUAGACAUCAAUAUAAAACUUGAUAUUUCAGUUAGACCGAAACAUCAAGUAACAAAAAUCUUCUAAAAUAUUAUAUAUCUAUAAAAUGAGAAUAUAUAUAUAUAUAUAUUUAGUUUUUGUUUCUUUAAUUUAGCUACUAUUGUAACUAAUUAUUUUGGUCUCUAAAUAUUGGUUUCUAUUUUAGUUACUAUUGUAACUAAUUAUUUUGGUCUCUAAAUAUUGGUUUCUAUUUUAUGAUUUUCUUGUAGUGAUAAUUAUUGUUUAGUGUGAAGAAUAGAUUGAUUUUGUGAUUAACUUAUGUUGAAGUCUCAUUUACUACUUUUUAGUAGAGUUUUCAAACCAUAUUUUAUUGAUUUUAGUGGAAUCUAUACCUACCAAAAAGGGUGAUUUAUAUCCAACACUUAGUGUGAAACAAUCUAACUUCCGUUUCUCACUUCCCAUAGUCACAAUCUCUAGCUUUGAAAUUUCAAAAUCACUGUAGAAACUAAUAUUCAAGAGACUUCAUAUACAAGUUUACAUGGUUUCGUAUUUUGAUCGCAUUCAACACUCAUAAAUAAGAAGCAAAUGCAGCUUUUAUGUUAUCAACCUUCUUUCUUUUCUUGCCAAAUACGAGAGUGCUAGCUAACCAUUCAUUCCCAUUCUAUUAACUAAUAUAAAUUUAUUUUUUUAUGAUUAAUUAUUCUUUUCCCAAUAAUAAACUUUGCAUUAACCAGCUUCAAUCGACUAAGCAAUUGCCAUGGAAUGCAAAUGCUAAUCAAAACAGCACUUCAUUUUCCAAUGCACGUUAUGUAUAAAAAAGGAACACUAGGGUUUCUUUUUAUUAAAGCCUUGGUUGUGUUCGUUUGCAUUUCAAAGUAAUUCACUACUUCUUCUUCACUAAUACCAAGAGAAAUCUCCUCCAUCAGAAAAGGAUUGAUAUGUACGUGAAAGCUUUUUAAAACCAUUUCAAUGGAAUCAAUUCUAAUCAUUAGCUUUACUCAACAGUAGUUGCGUACAUCAAAUUGACCCUGAUUACCUUUUAAUCUUCUUUUUUUUUCUUUCAAAAAAAUUUGUAAAAGCAUUAGUGAAGCCAUGUUUUAAAAAAUAGAUGUUUUGUAGAAAGGCACUAUUAAGAAGUAAAUUUUAAAUCUAACUCAACCUCAUAAAAUCAGCUUAUAUACUAUGAAAUGUCUUAAUAUCCAGUUGAUGUGAGAUCUCAACACAUUUUUUUACGCUGAGACUAUCAACUCGUGCGUAGGACUACACAUUAUUGAUGGUUAUCGAACUAUCCAUAAUAUACCAUAUUAAGAAGUGAACUUUAAGUUUAACUCAGUUUAUAAAAUGAGAUUUACACACACUUAUAUACUAUGAAAUAUCUUAAUCUUUAGUCAAUAUGUGAGAUCUCUAACAAGUAUAAAAAUUAAAUGGUGUUGGAGAUCCCACAUCGACUAGAGAUGAGGACAAUUCAUUGCAUAUAAGUUGGGGUGCAAACCUCAACUCUAUGAGCCAGUUUUAUGAGGUUGAGUUAGGCUUAAAGUUCACUUCGUAAUAAAUGACUGAUAUAAAAUUAUUAAGGACUAACCUAAGAGAUUAGUUUACAUAAAUGAUAUAUAUUAUCAUUAAGUGGACCUAACUAGGUAGAAAAGUAGAAUUAUAAUACUGAUAUAGUGAAGAAUGAGCAUUAGAAAGAGAAUUAAUUCUGAAAUAUAAUAUUAGAAGUAUAGGGAUAGUUCCUUAAAAACUAAAAAAUUUGGAAAAAAUAUUCUUUUGAUCCUUUGGCUGCUGUUGACUGCUGAAAAGAGAUAUAAGAAAUGUUGUUCAUCCUUAUCCACGCAAUUUCUUAUUCCAUGAAGAGUAUUAAUUAUGAGAUAAGAAUUAGGCCAAGAAGGAGGCAAACACGAAAGUUCUUAGGGAGAAAAACCUUAUUUGGCUGCUCAAAAACAUUACAUAUAGCAAUGCAGUUAAAUUAAAUUUACUCUUUUAAAUUGUAACUAUUUUUUUCUGUAAUUAUUUGGAAAUUGGGAAUCACUAAUGAAACUCCCAAGUUUAAUUAUUUUCUUAUAAUAUUCAGUGUAUGUUUUCUCCCGAAUUAAUUCUCAAUUUUUUAUCCUUUAUCUUGAUUUUAUAGUCCAAAUAGCACAAGAGUUUAGAAACAUAUUUCAAAACUAAAACUCUAUUAUGUUCCACAAACGCAACAUCUGUUUUCUUAUAAUGUGUUUGCAUGGAGAAAUUGAAAAACAAAAUUAUUUUUAUAGAGAAUUUGCAAUAUUUUAUUAAAAAAAAUGUUCUUCGAUAAUUAACAAAAUUAAUUGAAUUACUUUUAAAAUUAGAUAAUUUCGAAUUUUAUAAAAAAAAUAAAGAGUUGAAAUUUUUUUAUAUCCUCAAAUUCAUAUUUUUUCCUUAAUUCAAUUUUAGUUAAAGUAUGAUGGACUUUACCAAAACCAAGACAUUAUUAAAAUGACCACUCUUUAGUAUAUACUCGUUAAAAUUAUUUUAUUGAUAUUAAUAAAAAUUAUUUUGUUUGUUUGAUAUUAGUUAGAAUUUUCUUAUCGAGAGACUAUUUUUUAACUGAUGUGAAUUGGAUUUUCUAUGUGAUGUUUUGUGAACAGUUUGCUAUAAACUUUUUUUUUUCUAAUGUCAACUAGAAAAUUCCCUUCAAUAUUAAUUAGAAUUAUUUUUUUAUAGUUGUCAUAACAAAAAAUAAUCUUGGUUGAUGUGAAUCAAGAUGAAAAAUUACAAAUAUUAAAUGAAAAAAACAUUGACAAACUGUGAUCCAAAAAUAAUAUAAACCAAAAUCGACUAAAAACCAUUAUUUUUUAUAUUUUAAAAUUAUUAAUCAUUAUUUAAUAUUUAAAUAACUUUAAUAUUUUAAAAUUAUUUAUUUAAUAUUUUUCUAAUGCUAACUAUAAAACUUCCGAUCAACAUUAACUAGAAUUAUUUUUUUACUAAUGUAAAUUGAAGGAACUUUUGAGUCCACAUUGAUAAAAAAAAGUUGGGAAAAUUCUUCAGUCAUCAAUAUCGAAAAAUUAAUCUAGAUCUACGUCAAUCUAAUUAUAUUCGACAUAAAAAAAACAUAAUCUCAGUUAAUGUUAAUAAAAGAAAAAUUACAAAUAUUAAUUGAAAAAAACAUUUACAAACUGUGAUCCAAAAUCAAUAUAAACCAAGAUCGACUAAAAAACCAUUAAUUUUGAUACUUUUAAAUUAUUAAUCUUUAUUUAAUAUUGAAAUAACUUUUUACAUUCGGUAGUAAUCGAAAUGUUUUAUCCAAACUUAAAAUAAAAUAAAAUUCACUAAAUUUAAGUGAUCUUAAUUAAAUAAAUAUUUUUCAAAUUAUUUUGAAAUAGGUUUAAUUUAAAUUUAAUAUAUUGAAAUAUGUUAUAAAUUAUGAAAUUUUCUGUAUCCCAAUAUAAGAAAUUUUCUAAGGAUUUAUCAAAACAUCAUUUCCCUUUUUGGUAUUAUUGAAUUACAGGUUCUCAAUUCUAAAAAUAUGUUUUAAUGUUUAAUCUUAAGUACAAUAAAAUAAGAUAAAUUCAUAUAUAUAAGAUAAAAGUAAAUAACUGUAUUUAUUUUUAAUAUUUUUAUAAUAAAAUGAAAAAUAUUCCGUCCCAUUUCCAAGAAAUAAAGUGCAUUGAAUAAAAUACAAUGAAAAAUAUAUUUAAUUUCAUUUUAUCUUAUAAAGAAUGUAAAUAAUAAAAGAAAGCAUCGUUGUACUGAAUAAAAUAAUUUAUUUAUUUAUUUCAAACUUUAGAUAUAUGUGUUUGAAUUACAGUGGGAGUCAAAAUCACAGUGACACUAUAUACAACAAGAAGCAGCUUUGUUUUGCUCUAAAUCCAACCUAAUAAAUUAAUUUUGACAAAAAGCCAAACCAAACAUGCCACAUGUUUCAUUCAUAAUUUUGCAAUAACAAAUUUAAAUUAGUUUAAGAACAAUGUAUUAAAAAAUAUACUUUUGAACCCUUGUAUUAAAACAAUAGUAGAAUUCCAUAUAUUUAAAUAAUAGAAGGUAGUGCGUAAUCUGCUACACACCAUUACUACGUACAGUAAUAAGCACUAUAAUUAAAUAAUGUAGGAAUAGAGCUAAUAACUUUACUAAAUAAAGAUUUAAUUAUAAUUAAAACUUUUGUCAUUGUGAACAUUACUUUAGUUUGCGUCACGUUUUUUUAGUUUUCUGUGUAUUAUCGAGUUAAAUUAAUUAGUAUUCUUCUUAUACCAAAUGUGUAUGUCUUUUUUUUACUUGUUGUUUACCUGUCUUAUUAUUGUUACCGUGACUAUCCAAAGUAACGACCUUAACAUUUUUUACCAUUAUACAAAUAUACUUUAUAAAACCAAUUUAACCCAAAAAAAAAUUAUAUAACUUAUGUUUCUAUUGAAAAUUAGUCCAAUAAUACAAUUUGGUGAGAAUUAGAUAUUUAUUGGAAUUAUCAGUUGCUUUUUCGGUGUAAAAUGGAAGGUCCACUUAAAAAUGAUUAUCUAAGGUUUAAGUUAAUAAAAGCACAUAAACAAUAAAUUUCCUUUAAUGAAAGAAGUAGAUAUAUUAAAUAAGGUCAAUGUCAUUCUGAGUGAAUAUUUAUAAGUGUUAUUACAUUACAUUGUUAUGAGUUAAUUGAGUUACUUAUAUAACUGUUAUUCAUUGUAUCAUAAAUAGCCGUUUCGUUAUUUAAGAUUCAUUAAUUAGACCAUCUAGAUCAUUAAUGUUGUGUUUGGAUUGAGAAGUGAAUUUGUGAGGAUGUGUAAAGAUAUGUGAGGUUGUUUGGAUUGAGGGAUGAUAAAGUAGAUUUGUGAGAAUGAUUUAUUGUACGUUUAAAAAUUUAUUCUUGUCAUUAAAAAAUAUUUGAGUAAUGAAUUAUGUUUUUUUUUAAAUUUGAAUUAAUUUUUUUUUAAUAUAUAAUAUCCAUAAUUAUUUGUAUUUUUUAAUAAAAAAUUUAAAUAUAUAAUAGAAACUAUUUUUAUAUUAAAUUGAAAUAAAUUUAUUAAAUAUAAUAAAAUUUAUGAAAAUAAUAUUUAUUAUUAUAUUUAUUUAUUAUUUUAUAUAACUAUAUAUGUUUUUGUUGAUAUUAUAAUUUUUUAUUUUUAUCAUUUAUAAUUAUAUGUUUUUAUUAAUAAUAUAAUUAAAUAUUUUUGAAAUUAUUAAAUAAAUUGUUUUAGGAUUAAAAUUAUUUUCAGAGUUGAAGUUUAACUUUUUAAAUUUAAGGAAUGAACUUUUAAUAUAAAAAAAUGUGUGUGAAUAAUAUUUGUUACAUGUUGAUGAUUUGACUGCUAAAGAAAGAGGUGAUAGAGAAGAGACCCUCCACUCCCAGCUGCUACAAAUACUGAAACACCUAAAUAUGCUAGGCUGCCAUGUUCAAUUAACUAAUUCAUGAGAAUAGUAUAAUCCAGUCAAAAAGGAUUAAAAUUCAAUUAAGGCUAAAAUAGAUUAAAAGUGGAAAUUUUAAUUAAAUAUUAAAGAAAAAUAGAAAUAUAUUUAUUCUUAAUUUUAGUCAAUUUAGAAUCUUUAACACACUCCUCACAUCUCAUGUGUGAAACAACAUAUUAUGGAUGAUUCGAUAACGGGAUCCGAUAGCAUGUGACACAAUAGACUCAAUAAAUACUCGUUGUAAUAAAUUUUAAAUGACUCUAUACGAAGUGAAUUUUAAAUCUAAUUCAAUUCUAUAAAACUUACUCGUCGAGAUCAAAUUUGCACCCAAUUGUGUAUUUUGGUCAGCCACUGAAUUCAAGAUUUGAUCACUGUUUUGCCAUUUUGCAGAUAUGAGCCCGAAUGAAGCACGGUGGCAACGUGAAAUCAAACAUAAACCAGCUUUCCGUGUUGUUUCUCAAAAACCGCGUUUUUUUUACUUUGAAAAGUGGAAACCAAUAUUCCUCUCUUCUCACUCUGACCCACUGCACAACCCAUUUAUUUUAAGCCUUUAAAUAUCAUAUUCCACUAUUUUUAGCUCAAAUUAUUUUUUAUUUUAAUACAAAUUUUGAAUCUCAUGCUAAUUGUACUAAACAGGAAUAAAUAUUUGUUCAAAUUUUUAUACUUGAUAAACGAUUUUUUAAUAUAAAUUAAAAUAUUCCAUAUUAAUUAAUUAUUUGUCACGUAUAAAAAUUAGUAAACAUUUAUUUUAAUAAUUUUUUAUUAUAAUAAAUAUCAAAAAUUUAAAAUUUGAAUUAGAAACAAAAAUUAAUUAUACAGUGGAGCACAAAAAUUAUAUUUUUUAUUUGAAGUCAAAAAUAAUGAUCACAACCACUAAGUCCAUGCAGCAUAGAUGUUUCUGGAGCCAACAGCAAAUAAAUUAAUUAGGUUAGAUGAAGUAUUACAGCAAUUAACUAAUUUAAAAAAUCUCACAUUCUUAAUAAAUUUUCCAAUAAAAAAGUUAUUCAAUUCAAUUCAGUGUUUAAAAUAAUUUUUAUUUUAAUUAAAUUAUUACAUUGUUUCACUUUAUUGUUACCGUUACUUUUGUCUUCUUUUCAUUUUAACUUUUUAUUUUAUUUUCAGUGUUCUAAGUUUUUGGUCAUUCUUUUUUUUUUCUCUCUUUAAAAAUAAGUUCAUGAAUAAUUGAAAAAAAAUGAAGAAGAAAGAAAAAAUUCAAUAAAAAUAAAUGAUGAUAAAAUUAAAAUAUUAAAACUUAAUAAAGUAUUUUUUAAUUAAUUAAAAAUAUAUAAAUUUUUAAGUCAUGUUAAAUUUUAUUAAAAUUAAAAAUGGUAAGCUAGCUGCAUGCAUAAUAGAAUGUUUUGUGUUGACAACUAUCAAAGUGAAAUUCUAAAUUAGAUUUAAGAAUAGUAUAUAUGUUACUUUAUUUAAAUUUUAUCCAAAAACAAGUUUCUGAUUGUUUCAAGUUUCUGAUUGUUUUAAGGUAUUCUAAACUAUUUUUUAGAAUAUAGUAUAUUUAGCCUAUUAGAUAUUGUUAAUCUCUAAAAAUAAUAAUUUUUGUAUGAAAAAUAUCUUUUACAUUUUAAAAUUAUAAAUUUAUACGUUCUGUUUUUUUAUUAUAUAUUAAUUAGAGGAUUAAUGACCAUCAUUGGUUUGAAUAGAUUUGAGAUUGAAUUCUCUAUAAAGAUUUUGAUUUUCAGUCAUGAGUGGAGAAAAAUAUGGUUUGUUUUUUUUUAAUUAAAAAUAUUCAGUUUCUUAGUAGACAAAAUCAAUAGAAAACUAAUACAAAUAUUAUAGGAGUAUUAUAUUUUUAAAAUAUUUGAUACCAUUUCGAUCAUUUUCAUAAGAAAUAAAGGACAGUAUUUUGAUAAUUAUUUUAUAUUGUCAUUUAUUUAUUAUAAAAGGCCAGGAUAUCAUUUUAAUAUAUUAAAAUACAAUGUUGUUUAUUUAUUUUUCAAUAAUUACUUUAACAUACCUGGUAACGUUGUAAAAAUCAAAAUUAUAAAAUAUACAUUAAAUUAUAUUUUAAUUCUCUAAAUUUUCUUUUGCAAACUGUCGACUCUCUAAAGUAUUUAACUUUUUAUACUCUAAAAGUUUCAAAUAAGCUAUUUCACUGCGUAUAGUCGUAUAUUCAAAGUAACAAAAGUGAGUAUCUUUUCUUCAUUUUAAACAAAUACAUGUAAAUUACAAUUUUAUAAAAAAAAUUGAUUUGAUAAUUUAUUAAUGCAAACAUAUUAUUAUUUUUAAAUUAGUCCUUAAUUAUUAUAAAUUUAAACCAUCACCAUUAGAUACGCAACAUUUACUAUUAUAACUGAUUUCUUUUUUCACAUAUACAUUUAUUAUCGUUAUUAUUAUUAUUAUUAUUAUUAUUACUUAACUCUUGUUUUUUUUCUCAUAAAAUAACUUGUUUUCAUGUCUUUUAUAAACUUCCAACAUACUUCUUGUUUUCAAAUUUUUUUCUUAUUCAAAUUUUAUUCGUUUAUUUUUCUAUUAUUUUUUUUUUCUUUAUGUAAUUUGACAUUUUUUAUUAAUAAUCCGUCAUCCAUGAUUCAUAUAUCUAAUCUAAAAAUCUAAAAAUAAGUGGUACAAUUGAGACAUAUUAUAACCAAAUAUAGUUUUUCUAACAAUUAUUUAUAAAAACAUAGAUUUAAGGUUAAUAAAUAUAUGAUAAUUUAGAAUAAAAGCAUUUUAUUUAUUUUCGCAAUAUGGACCAAAUAAUUAAAUACUUGAAUGUGGUUGAAAUUUGGUGAUGAUGAGCACCAUUUUUAGUAAAAGAAACUAAAUACUCGAAGGAAGCUGAAAAUAAUAAGCGUGUAUAAUUAGAGAAGAUGAUGAAGGAAAAGAAAAAGAGAGAAGAAAAAAAAUGUGGACGGUGAAGUGAGAUUCAUGUUUGCACCAUUAUUUAAUCUUCCUUCUCCUUCUCUGCACUGUGUAUAAAAGAAAUCAUAGCCAGCUAUUUCCAUUUCAACCGACACGCCACUACCCUUCUCUCACAAGUCUGUUUCAGUUCUUGCAAAGAGAGCAAAAUCACCCUUGUGGAGAGAGAACACACACCAACAAGAAAAAAAACUCCAAAGAGGGUGAAGAAUUAGAACAAACAUGACCCUUACAAAACAAAUCAUGGGUUCUUCAUUGCUAGAGAGGUCCUUGUUUGUUCCCUCUUCCCCUUCAUCACUUCUCAACCAAACUCGCUUUUUAGUUCCUUUGGAGAGCAAGAGAGUUGUGAGGGUGAGGAAGGCUGCAAAGUUUCCUGUGGCAGCUAUAAGUGAGGAUUUGGUGAAGAGCUCUUCUUCUUCUUCUUCACCAUCAUCUUCUUCCACUUCUUCUGUGUCUGCAGAGAAGCCAGUGAAAUUCAAGGUUAGAGCUGUGAUCACAGUGAGGAACAAGAUCAAAGAAGAUUUCAAAGAGACCAUUGUCAAGCAUAUUGAUGCUCUAACUGACAGGAUUGGAAGGAAUGUUGUCUUUGAACUUGUUAGCACUGAGAUUGAUCCAAGUAAGAAUUUCCUUAUGCUGCUCAGCUGUCUCUCACAAAAACUACUUCAUUUCUUUCCAAAAUCAUCAUCUCAACCUACCCAGUACCAUAAAUGUUUAAGAUUUCUUUCAAAAGUCAUUUUUUUCCCUCCCCUUCUUAAAAAGUUCCUUUUUUUGGUAUACUUCAAUCCUCUGCACACAAAUCGCCUAAUUAAUUCUUACUAUCUACAUGAAACUAAAUCUUAAUUAUUUUUUGAAAUAAUCUACUUGAAAUUACUUGUUGAGGGAGGCUGUGAGCUGAAUGAAUCCUUUGGUGCUUUUUUUGUCUUGUAGAGACCAAAGCUGCAAAGAAGAGUAAUGAAGCAGUGCUGAAGGAUUGGUCAAAGAAAUCCAAUCUUAAGGUAGAGAGAGUUAAUUACACAGCUGAAUUCAUAGUUGACUCUAACUUUGGAGAGCCAGGAGCUAUUACUGUGACAAACAAACACCAGAAAGAGUUAUUCUUGGAAAGCAUAACCAUUGAAGGAUUUGCCAAUGGACCAGUUCAUUUCCCCUGCAAUUCUUGGGUACAAGCAAGAAAAGAUCAUCCUGGAAAGAGGAUUUUUUUUUCCAACAAGGUAAUCUAAUCUUCCCUUAUUUUUUUAUUUUAUUUUUAUUAAAUUAUUAUUAUUUAUUUUAUUUUAUUUUCCUGUCUAAAUAGCAGUGCCAGGUAAGGUUAGUAUUCAUUCUGUACACCAAUGAGACGACAGUGUUUGUUUUCUGUUUUUAUUUCAGUCUGGAAAAUAAAAGUCAAAGCAAUAUUUAUUUUUGUUUGAAGAAUCUUGAAAAGGGCAUAAAAGUAGAAAACUCAUUCUAUUACCUUGAAAAGAACAGAUUUAAUUUAUUAUUUCAAUGGCAAUGGCUAUUAGUGCGUGAUGUUUUAGUUUCCUCAAGAAAAGAAAAAGCUGUUCCAUUAACAUUAAAGUGGGAAAACCAUUGAGUGAUUCCUGUGCGGUUUUGCAUGAGCUAAAUAUCUUCGAAUUGACCCAUCGAUUGCUACAUCAAUCCAAUUGGUAACAUCCACUAUGUGCUUUGUGAUUAGUAUGUAUUAUUUAUUCUACUUCCUCCUUUUUAUCUGAUGGUUUACAUAUUUUCUAAUUACAUUUCAAUUGAUCUUUUACAGUGUCACUGCAUAAUUAAAUAAUCUUUUGAGAAAUUUAUUGAAGAAAACUAGUUAAUGUUUUACAGUGUCAGUAUAACAGUGAUCAUAGUAGUGAAUUAAAAAGAUAAAAGAGGCAGUAUAUUAUUUUUAACAAAGUUACAAUAAUAAUUAUCUGUUAACUUUGUUCUUUUUCCUAAGAUUUGUUCUCUCUUGUGUGAUUUAUUUGAACAGCCUUAUUUACCUGGUGAUACGCCUGCUGGGCUUAGAUUAUUGAGGGAGAAAGAGCUGAAAAAUCUCAGAGGUGAUGGCAAAGGAGUGAGAAACUUAUCUGACAGAAUAUAUGAUUAUGAUAUAUACAAUGAUUUGGGAAAUCCAGAUAAAGGAAUUGAAUAUGCCAGACAAAAUCUUGGAGGAUCAGAUAUGUAUCCAUACCCAAGAAGGUGUCGUACAGGCCGUGAACCCAGCGACACAGGUAAUAGAAAUAAAUUAAAGUUCUGGUGUGUCCCCCAAAAAGUUAUUACUAUUUAUCUAUUUUAAGUAGAUGUAAAAAUUUGAAAUUUUUUCUGGUUUAUACAUGUAACUAAGGUUAUUUGAUUGCAUGAUGCAGAUAUGUAUGCAGAGAGUCGUGUGGAGAAGCCACUGCCUAUGUAUGUGCCAAGAGAUGAACGUUUUGAGGAGUCGAAGCAGAACACAUUUACUGUGAAGAGGCUGAAGGCAGUGCUGCAUAACUUGAUCCCUGGUCUUAAGGCUAGUCUUUCUGCUAGCAACCAAGACUUCAAUGAAUUCUCAGAUGUCGAUGGCCUUUACAGUGAAGGGUUGCUCAUAAAGUUGGGGUUGCAAGAUGACAUGUUGAAAAAAAUCCCUUUUGUCAGCAAGAUCCAAGAGUCCAGCCAGGGACUUCUUAAAUAUGACACCCCUAAGAUUAUUUCCAGUGAGUAAAUUACUUUUGCUUUAUGUUUUCCUUCUACUAAAAUUUGGUUACACCACUCAAAUCUGUGUGCUGAUUUCAGCAGUGAAUCUCUAAUAAUUAUUAUUGCCUUUAUGCCAGAAUGAUUUUGAAGAUAAAUUAUUUGGCUCCUCUUUUUGAACUUUCAGCAACAAGUGAAAUAUGUCGGAAUCCGACACUAAUUAAAGAGAACCACUUUUUUUCUUUCCUGUGGGGUUAGUUUGUAUCUGUGCAUGUUUUGUUUUGCUUAAAUUACUUUUUCUGAUGAAAGGCUUUCAGGGUAUGAUCCUGAAGCAACAUGUGAUAAGUUAAUUCAAACACAAAUCUAGUGGUGAGGUUCGAUAAGAAUUGGAUUUUAGUACUGUUGCUUUGCCCUAUAAACUUUUCAUAUAGCAUGACCAAGAAUAUGGUAAAAAAUCACUGUGAAGUGGACCACUAGACCGUGCCAUUUGGCUUUUAAUGUUCGUCAGUUGAUUUUUACCAAAGAAAAGUUUGUCAGUUCAAUUCAAACACAGAUAGGUUGUUCGUUAUCCGUGUGCGCUUUUCGGGCAACUAGUUAAUAGUUAUCAUUAUUAUAUUAUAUGAAGAAAUAAAGAUUGUAGGCAAAAGCUGCAUCAAAUUGUUAUUUAAAUAUUUAACAUGUGGGUGCAGUAUUUUAUAGUUGUUAACAUUAUUUUAAACACAACUUGAUUAUUGGUGUCUCUGCUACUUUUUGUUAAACUAAUCUCACGUGCCUGACGUGCAGAGGACAAAUUUGCAUGGUUGCGAGAUGACGAAUUUGCCCGUCAAGCAAUUGCAGGAGUUAACCCUGUUAGCAUUGAGAAGCUUAAAGUUUUUCCACCAGUUAGCAAACUAGACCCUCAAAUUUAUGGCCCCCAAGAGUCUGCUCUGAAAGAAGAACAUAUUUUGACUCAACUCAAUGGCAUGACAGUCCAAGAGGUAGCAUCAAUGAAUGCCUCUCACAAAUUUUAAUUUCUAACCAUACUCCUGUUCAUUCAAAUUCAAUGCUUCUUCACCCACUUGAACUUAAAUAUUAGUUUUGUUAAUUAUGCAGGCAAUAAAUGAAAACAAGCUGUUUAUUGUUGACUAUCAUGAUAUCUACCUUCCUUUCCUAGAAGGGAUCAACGCACUUGAUGGUAGGAAAUCAUAUGCCACACGCACCAUCUUUUUCUCCACACCACGUGGUACUCUCAAGCCUGUGGCCAUAGAACUCAGCCUUCCUUUUGCUGGACCUAGUUCUAGAUCAAAGCGUGUGGUUACACCUCCUGUUGAUGCAACUACUAACUGGAUGUGGAUGCUUGCAAAGGCACAUGUUUGCUCCAAUGAUGCUGGGGUGCACCAACUUGUUAACCACUGGUAUGCAAAACACCCACAAAACAAAACAAGUACUAUAAAAUGAUUAGUAGUUAGUAACAUGUUAACUAGUUCAUUGAUUUUUGUUUUGUGUGUUGAUAUGUGUAUAGGUUACGCACACAUGCAAACUUGGAACCAUUUAUAUUGGCAGCUCAUAGGCAAUUGAGUGCCAUGCAUCCAAUUUACAAGUUAUUGGAUCCCCACAUGAGGUAUACUUUGGAGAUCAAUGCCUUGGCUAGACAGAGUUUAAUCAAUGCUGAUGGAAUCAUAGAAAAUUGCUUCACUCCUGGUCGUUAUGCCAUGGAGAUUAGCUCUGCUGCUUACAAGAACUUUUGGCGCUUUGACAUGGAUAGCCUUCCUGCAGAUCUCAUACGCAGGUAAUUCACUAAAUAUCUUAGAUUUUUUUAUGUUACUGUUUACAAAUUGACUUUAAAUGAUAGAGACCCAACCUAACUUAUACGGCAAAUAGUAAACGGUCGGUGUUCUUUGUACAUGGUUUAAGAAAUAAAAUAUACAAACUUUUUUUUUAAAUAUGACUGUGUCAUGCAGAGAUUAAAUGGUCUCUAACCACAUAAUAAUUUCUCUAACUCUACUCUAAUGCUCUUAGGAUACUUCUUGCCAGAACCCAACUGAUUAAAUGUCUAAGAUCCUUAGUUACUUUUUACCUUUACUUUUUGGAAAAGUGGCCAAUUUUUUUUUCUCAUGGUGUUAUGAUGCUUGCUUUUUUUGGGGCAUGAAAAAUUCAAUCAGAUCUAAAGAAGAUAUUGUACUGUGACAUUGCAGGGGAAUGGCAGUACCUGACCCAACACAACCACAUGGUCUAAAGCUCACAUUGGAAGACUACCCUUAUGCAGCUGAUGGAAUACUUAUCUGGUCCGCCAUAGAAGACUGGGUUCGCACCUAUGUGAACCACUAUUACCCUCAUUCAAGCCUCAUAUGCAACGACAAAGAGCUACAAGCUUGGUACUCCGAGUCAAUAAAUGUGGGUCAUGCCGAUCUUAGGCAUGAAAGUUGGUGGCCUACAUUGAACAAUAGUGAGGAUCUUGUCUCCAUCCUUUCCAUAUUGAUUUGGAAUGCAUCUGCACAACAUGCUGCUCUUAACUUUGGCCAAUACCCUUAUGGUGGCUAUGUGCCUAAUCGUCCACCACUUACCAGAAGAUUAAUACCUGAAGAGGGUGAUCCAGAAUAUGCAAGUUUCCUUGCUGACCCCCAAAAAUACUAUCUGAAUGCAUUGCCUAGCUUGUUGCAGGCCACAAAGUUUAUGGCUGUGGUUGACACACUCUCCACUCACUCACCUGAUGAGGAGUACUUAGGGGACAGGCAACAACCUUCGAUUUGGUCUGGUGAUGCUGAGAUCAUUGAGGCGUUUUAUGAUUUCUCUGCAAAGAUUAGACAGAUAGAGAAGGUGAUUGAUAGCAGGAACCUUGAUAAGACUCUAAGGAACCGUUGUGGUGCAGGGGUGUUGCCUUAUGAGUUACUUGCUCCUAGCUCUGAAUCUGGUGUUACAUGCAGAGGGGUACCUAAUAGUGUGUCUACAUAACCAUCCUAAACUAGUAAAUAAGGGACUCACUUCCCACAUUUUGAUAAGCAUUUAUAUAUGGUUGCCUUACUACUUACUACUUAGUACCUCCUACUAUGGUCAGUGACUGAAUGGAUGCCCAUUUUGUACCUACAUUUAAUAAAUUGUUGUAGUAUAUAUAUAAUAUAUUGUAACCUAGGACUGUAUAGUCUGUAUAUCAAAAUGAGUUCGGUGGUGUUGGAGGAUGUGUCACUGUCUAUAAAAUUAUUAUCACCAUUUCUAGACUUCUACUCUUCUUUGCUUUGUUAUGCACCUUUUGCUUUUAGUACGCAAAUAUUUCAAAAAUCUGAUAUUCCUUACCCUUAUCUGCUACUGAUACAGGAAUCUAUCCGUAUCCAUGCAAAUUAAAACAGAAGACGGCUUCUUCCUCCACUUUCAUAUUUUUUUUUUUUCAUUCCAUAUGACAAAAUAUUUUUUUAUUCUUGUAACAUCUCGAUAGAUAUAUUUUGAAUUACAUAAUCUGAAAGUUAAUAUCAAAUUUAAAAAUAAUUUACAGAAUCCAAAAAUAUAUUUAUAAAAAUGAUAUUUCAGAUUAUGUAAUCUGGAAACUAAUCACACAUAAAAAAAACUUUUAAAUUAUAUAAUUCUAAUUAUGAAUUUGGAAAAAAACUUAUAUACAAAAAUUUCUGGAAGUGGAGGUGAAAAAAGAAUAUAUGGAGGUUCAAGAAGAAGCAGUCCAAACAGAAAUGCAAUUGAUAUAGCUGAAGUCCAUUAGCCACAAGAUUUCUGGUUCCUUCUAUUUAUCUUACCAGCCAAAUAUACAUUUCUGGUUUUUUUUUUUUUUUAUUUAUUUAUUUUUUUUUAUAGUUUUCUUCUCGCUUAAAAACAAGGUUUGAAUAUGGCUUUUUAAACAUAUUAUUUGCUUCUAAGUAUGUUCAGGAGAUUUACGUUUUAUAUACCUCGUUUAUAGAUAAAGAAACAAUAAACACAAGAAAGAGAUAAAAAAAACCAAGAAAGAGUUAUAUUUUAUUAAAAAUAAAAAUCAUUUUAAAUAUCAAUAAUUUUUUUUUAAACUAUGAUUUCUAAUUUAGUUAAUAUAACAUGUUAACAUAUUUAGUUUUUCUGUUUUAAGUUACUGGACUUUGUUUGUUUGACCCAACUUUCCUUUUCUGUUUCAGCUAGGUCUUAAUCUUUUUCUUAUAUAUAUACCAUGUAUUUUACUCUCUAAUAUACAAGUAAAUAAGAAUUUCUUUUGUAUUUUCUUUUCUAUGCUUUUCCCUCUUUUAUGCUUAAGUCAUUGUCUCUUUUUCAUUUGCAAUUAGGGUUCAUCAGAACCUCCCUUUCUCCAUUGUGAUUUCGUGCCCUCCAUUUGAUGCACCACAUCAGACAAGGAAUAUUCAUCUUCAUUAACGGUAAUAUGGUAUCAGAGUCAUUUCGAGACUAUCCUAGCGAGUGUUUGUGUUGGACCUAUCGUGCCACCCGUUAUCGGGCCGCUAUCGGACCACCCAUAAUAUAUAGUCCCACGCAAGAGUUGGCAGUCUCGGCGUGAGGGGGGUGUGUUGGAGAUCCCACAUCGACUAGAGAUUAGAGCCUUUCAUAAUAUAUAAGUGGGUGCAAACCUCACCCCAUUGAGCCGGUUUUAUGGGGUUGAGUUAGGCUUAAAGUCCACUUCGUAAUAUGGUAUUAGAGCUAUUCGAAGAGCUCUGCUGCGCUUCUCUCUGAUAUUUAUUUCUCCCUUUGUUGUUCUUGGUUAUCUUUUUUGUUCUCUUUCAAAAUCUUGAUUGGGUUUAAAAAUCUCUUAGACAAUGUUUAAUAAAAAUCCUAGUCUUCAUAGUCUUAAUAGUAGUCACAUUAUUACAUGCAAUUUUUGUGGUAAAUAUGGUCAUACUGAGGCUGUUUGUUUUCGCAAAGUGGGUUUUCCUUCUGGUAAUGUUAAAACCUCAAAGUUUUCUUCUACUAGAAAAGUCUGCACCUUUUAAUCGUCUUGGCCACACUGUCGACACCUGUUAUAAAAAGCAUGGGUUCCCUCUUGGCUACAAAUUCACCAAUUGGACAUCCCAAGCCAAUAAUAUGAUUACUACUAACACUUUUUCUGAGCUUUUUCCUAAAGAACAAGAUGCAAAGAGAAUUCAACUUACAUCACAACAGUGUCAAUUCCUUACCAACAUUUUGCGUCAGCAAAACCUUAAGGAUCUUGCCUCUCACACUCAAAUUAAUUAAGUCGGCACCUUCUCUGCGGAUGAAAUCCCCAAUACUGAGCAUUCUUCAACAGGUAAGUUUCUCUCUUCUCUGCUAUAAAAGAAUCUUGGAUUAUUGAUUCUGGUGCCACGAAUCAUGUUUGUCACAAUUUGAACGUUUUUACUACUUAUACUAAAAUUAAACAUGUCUUAAUUAGUCUUCCAAAUGGCUAAACUGUUUAUGCCACAUACUCUGGUUUAGUACGUUUUUCUGAUAAGUUUUAUUUGUCUGAUGUGUUAUAUGUGCCUCAUUUUCAAUUAAACUUAAUAUCUGCUUCUAAACUUACACACCAACUUAAAUGCACUUUGACUUUCACUUCAACCCACUGCAUUAUACAGGACAAUCUCACCCACGAGAGGAUUGGUACAGUUAAAGCCACCGCUGGCUUGUACCUUGUCACUACCUUGCCUGCUUCUAGUCGUUCUAAACCGCAUUGUUUUGCUCCUUUUAUUAAUUGUAAUAUCACGAACAGAACACUAUGGCAUUAUAGACUAGGACACCCUUCACUUGAAAGAUUACAUGUCUUAAGCAAACAAUACUCUUUUAUUACUGUUGAUACUCAUAAUGUAUAUGAUACUUGUAGUCGUGCAAAACAGAGAAAACUUCCUUUCACUUUAAGUAAUAUUGUUACCUCUGUUAUUUUUGAUCUUGUACACUUUGAUAUUUGGGGACCAUGUUCCAUAAUUUCUAUGCAAGGUUUUCGUUAUUUCUUGACUAUUGUUGAUGAUUACUCGCGUUAUACUUGGGUUAUUCUGCUGCAUAACAAAUCUGAAGUGUGCCAGCACAUCAUUAACUUCACUGUUUUCGUUCAAAAUCAUUUCAAAACUAAUAUCAAAACGAUUCAUACUGACAAUGGUGUUGAGUUUGCUAUGUCAAAUUUUUAUGCUUCAAAGGGAAUUAUACAUAAAAAAAUCUUGUGUUGAAACACCACAACAAAAUGACACUGUAGAACGUAAACAUCAACACAUACUAAAUGUAACUCGUGCUUUACUUUUUGAAGCAAAUCUUCCUCCUAUUUUUUGGGAAUUUGCUGUAAAUCAUGUUGUUUUCUUAAUAAAUGUUAUUCCUACUCCAUUACUUAAUAACAUCACUCCUCAUGAAAAGUUGUUUGGAAAACCAUAUGACAUUUCCUUUCUAAAAGUGUUUGGUUGUCUCUAUUAUGCUAGUACCAUUACUGCACAUAGGAAAAAAUUAGAUGAUAGAUCUAUCAAAGGUAUUUUUCUUGGCUUCCCGCAAAAUACAAAAGGUUAUAUUAUCUUAAAUUUAAAGUUUCAUAGCAUAGAAAUAUCAAGACAUGUAAUCUUUCAUGAAAACCACUUUCCAUAUAAAUUGGAUUGUGGCUUGCCUAAGGAACCUAACACUUUAUCUCUCCCUAUUUCUAACGCAUAUAAUUCUGCUUUUGAUUUUUUUUUCCUGAUACUGCACCUCCUGGCGAGCCAUGUGCUUCUACUCCUGCACCCAAUAUUGUCCCUCCACCAGCUUUAUUAUCCUCUGAUCUUCCAACAAAUAGUGCCUCUGCUCCUGCAUCCAACAUUGCACCUCCACCAGAAUUAUCAUCGCUUGCAUCUCCAGGAAGCACCUCACCCCAAUUUCCAAGAAGAUCAGCUCGUCCUCACUGACAACCUGCCUAUCUUGCCGAUUUCCACACUGCAACCAACACUGUAAGUAGUAGAUAUCCUAUUCACAAUUACUUGUCGUACAAUUCCUUAUCUUCCAAUUUUAGAAAUGUUAUUUUCUCUAUCAAUUCUCAUCCUGAACCUCGAACAUAUAACGAAGCCUCCAAACAUGCUUCUUGGAAAUCUGCCAUGCAAGAUGAGCUUCAAGCUCUUGCUGCUAACAAUACUUGACAACUUACCCCUCUCCCUCCAGGAAAGAAAACUAUUGGUUGUAAAUGGGUAUAUAAAAUCAAAUACCAUUCUGAUGACACGGUUGAGCGCCACAAACCUAGAGUUGUUGCCAAAGGGUUCACCCAACUUGAAGGACUUGAUUUUUUAUACACUUUUGCACCUGUUGCUAAACUCACUACCCUCCGCCUUCUUCUUGCUAUUGCCACUACCAAAAAUUGGAUUUUAAAACAACUUGAUGUCAAUAAUGCCUUUCUUCAUGGUGAUCUCCAUGAAGAGGUAUACAUGAUUCCCCCCACCUGGCCUCUCUCUUCCUUCUUCCCCGCAUGUUUGCAAGCUUCAACGGUCUUUGUAUGACCUUCGUCAAGCUAGUCACUAAUGAUACGUCAGACUUUAUAACAACUAAUUAUUUUGAUCUUUAAUAUUUAUUUCUAUUCAAUAAUAAUUUUAUAGUGUUCCCAACAUAUUCUAAAAAACUUAUUUUCUAACUAUUGUUUGGAAAGAAUAAUUGAAAAUGAGAGAACAUAUAAUAAAAAGAGAGAAAAUAAAUAAAUAAAAGUUUGCAACUAAUUCUGAUUGAUUUGAAAAAAUAUUGAUUUUAUUUAGUUAUUAUUGUAUUUUUGCUUGAAAAAUAAAAAAAAUAUUGAUGUUUGGAGUAUAAUUUGAAAUAUUACCUUUUUUAUACUAUAAAGAUAUAAUUAAUUAUAUUAUGUAAUUAAUAUAUAAUGUGGGUCUGAUCGUCGUAUGAUAUUGAUUUGAUUGAACGUUUCAAAUUAAAUAUUUAAGGGUUCAAUUUAGAGUAAUACUAAUUCUCAUCAUCAAAUAUCGUACAAUCGCUUAAACAACGUAAUUUAUUGUGUCAAUUCACAAAUUUAUAGAAUCUAUUUUAAAAGUCCAAUUCAUCAUCAUUUGAAUAAAAUUCGUUAAUUAUUUGGGUCGAACUAUUCAAAUUAAGAAAAUUAUUAUGAAAUCCUCCUCACAUAAAGUUCAAGAUACAUCUUUUUAGCAAUGAACGUUGUCACUUGAAAGUACUUUUGUCAAUGCAAUGAUUAUUACCACUUAUCACCUAUCAAUUUAGCAACUUUUAUUUCAUAAUACUCCAUAGAUUUCUCAUACUUUAUGAAUUAAAAUUAACUACUCUCACAAACUAGUUUUCCUUAUCUAAAGGUAACUUAUUUUUGCAACAAUUCUCACAUACAAAAUAAGAACUUCAAGUAAUUCCAGAACAACUUCCAAAAUAUUAACUUAUAAAAAAGUUAACAAAUUCCAGAACAACUUCCAAAAUAUUAACAUAAUAUCUACUCAUGUCAAGCAACCAAAAAGUUUCUAAAACAAAGAUAGAAAUUCGUGGAAGAAUUAUUUACCUAAAUCAAAACUUUGAUAGCCAAUCUUACCAUUCCUUUAGCUUUAGAAUUGAUGAGUAUACUAUUGAAUUUCAAUGAUAAAAAUUAAUAUAAAAAUUUAGUAAUAUAUAUAUAUAUAUAUAUAUAUAUAUCAAAGGUUUCCUCAGUUGGUUUGGGUGGUAUAGUCUGUUGCAGAAGUUCUCUUUUUUUCAUCCAUAUCUUUCUUUAGUCUUUAACAAGCGAAAGCUUGAACCACUUUUGAUUCUACAAUUUUUUUUAAUUAUUCUAGAUUCUUUCAUUUUCUUGUAAAGAUAAUUUCCUUCACGAGUACGCUCCCCCACUCUGUUGUGUAAGGACUAACAGAACUUGACUAACUUCUUACUUCAUGUCGUACUUCAAGUUAUCCCGUCCCAAGUACUUAUUCUGUUUGAACCAGAGUUUGAAAGUUACUAUUUUUUUGUCCAAGUUUCUUCUCUUUUUGUCUAAGCCGGAGAUACUUUAAUUGGCUUUUGAUAUGGAGAACCCACAUGGCCCAACGAUCUUUUAUAUGUUAGGAUAUGGGUUAAAUCAUAAAUAUUUCUUUUUGGGUGGUCUACGAGCAUUUGCUCAAUUAAUUAGUUAUGAAAUACCAACCAUGACCGAUCACCAUCGAUAAAGAAGAAUCUUUCUAAAUCACUUCAGGUCAGCGAGGCCUUCAAGCAUCUAACAUACGUUGGGAAGUCAGUCUGGGAGAUUAGAUAAGUUAGAUAGGUUAUACUUUUUUUAGUGAAAAUCCACUGAAGUCCAUAGGAUAUAUCCUAAGGUAUUUAAUUGCUUGUUUGAUAGAAUAAGAAAGAAGUUUGUUUUCUAUUGAUAAUGGCAGUCCCAUAGGCUGGCAGGGAACUCGUUGUUCAAGCAACUAUUUAGAGUUCCUAGAGCUCCCUGUAAGGCUUGUUGUAGAACUCGUUGUCGGACUUGUUCAUCUUUAUUGCAAGUCUAAAGAGAGGGAAGGGGCAAAGUCCACUCGCUAUUAGCUCGCGAAAGAAGACCCAUUUCUUAAGCAUAUAGCUAGCAUACUUUAUCGUAAACUGAGUUAGAUAUCCUUGAUUCUCAAAAUCUUUCUUAAUCCAUUCUCUUAUUCUAUUUGUGAAGACAAAUAGGGGGGAAAAUUGUGGUUGUGUUGUAAUUUUGCUACUAUGGUACUAUGUGCUGCUGUACACAUUUUUAUGCUGCCACACACACUAAUUUUUCUAGUUUUCUGCAUAUGCAUGUGCAGAUUCGUGUGUGUCUUCUCAACUCUAUGUUAUCCUGUUGCUAUAUGUUUUGUAUGCUAUACAAUUUUAUUUUGCAAGACUUUUCAAGUUCAAAAACUACAACAUAAGCAAACCAGUGAUUUGUCUUCAUCAAAUAGAGAGAAAUUGUUGAAUAAGAUGUUUUGAUGUCUCCAAAUCCAAGUGAAAAGUUUGAAAACUUAUUUUCUCUUGUUUUUUCUGUUUAAGUUGUUGGACCCAUUUAGGCCUAUCUUCUCUUUUUUCUCUUACUGCGAUAUGUUUAGGCAAAGACUUUUCUUAUAUAUACACUAUUGUACUUUGCUUUAUGACACAAGUGAAAUAUAAGGGUUUUUUACCAUGAUGGUUUUUUUUUUUUGCUUUUUAUCAAAAUGGGCUUCGUUUAAAAAAAAAUUACAAAUUUAGGCAAGUCGUACCAAUUCGGCACGACUUCAUAUGCACAAAUCGUCCCAAUUAGACACGACUUCUGUCCUAUCAUACUGAAGUCGUGCCAACUUGACAUGACUUUUGUCACGUCAUAAUUUUUUUUUAUUUUUUUUUAAGUUUAUUGUUUAUAUAUUGGGUAGUAAGUUAUGUAAUGUUAAAAAUUAAUUUGAUACAUCAUUUUCUAAGAGUGUUAGUUUUAAGGAACAAAAAAUUGGAUAAUCGUGUAUGGAUCAUGUUUGAAUUGAAUGAACAAAUACAUAGAUAAAGAAAAUGAAUGUUCUAAAAGUGUUAUGAAUGAAUAAAUACAUAGAUAAAGAAAAUGAGGAAAUUAAUAAUCAAACUUGAAUUGAAUUUUAUUAUUAAGCUUGUCUGUGCGGACAAUUGCUUCUACCGUGACCUUCCGUUCUACAAUAUGAAUAUUUUUUUGGCUUAUUUAGAAUUGAAUCAUUCAUUUUGUUACGAAUGCGUUAAGUGCUAGGUCUUCCUGAUUGAUGUCGACACAUGGUGGGGUCAGGUAAGAAAUUUGGUCCAGUGUAAGUAGACCAAUAAUCCUUAUUUCGAACUGGAUUAAAUUGGACCUAAUAAGCUUUUAAAAUAUUGUGCAGACUGUGAAGCUUGAAAUUACUUCUCAAGCUAUUUAUUUUGCAAAUUCACAACAAUAAUUCUCUAUUUAUUUUCCAAAUACAAUAAAUUUUCAUUAAUUAAUUUAUUUCCAAAUUCAAUAAUAAUUUUCUUCAUUUUUUAAUUAAUCAAAUAAUCAAGUUAUUGUAUUACAUUACCGUCAAACAUGAUCCAUACACGAUUAUCCAAUUUUUUGUUCCUUAAAACUAACACCCUUAGAAAAUUAUGUAUCAAAUUAAUUUUUAACAUUACAUAACUUACUACCCAAUAUAUAAACAAUAAAAUUAAAAAAAAAAUUAUGACGUGGCAGAAGUCGUGUCAAGUUGGCACGAUUUCAGUAUGACAAGGCAGAAGUCGUGUCAAGUUGGCACGACUUCAGUAUGACAGGGCAGAAGUCGUGCCAAGUUGGCACGACUUCAGUAUGACAUGGUAGAGUCGUGUCUAAUUGGGACGAUUUGUGCAUAUGAAGUCGUUCCAAAUUGACACGACUUGCUAAAUUUGUAAUUUUCUUUAAACAAAUCUCAUUUUGAUAAAAAAAAAAAAUAAUAAUUCCAUAAUGUUCAAAAACCCAAAAUAUAAUUCAUUCUUCUUCUCUUUUCUCUUAGAUUCUUUCUCUCUCACUCUCGCUGUAAAUAUUCUUUCUCGUUUUUUUUAUUAGGGUUAUUUUUUAUUUUGCUUUAUCUUGAUUUCUUGCAUUUUCAGAUUGGAGCAUCUAGGGCGAGAUAUCUACUUCACCACCAAUUGUAAUAUGGACGUAGAUAAAAAGUAUCGAACAAAAGUUUUCCAAAUUAAAAUCUUGGAAACAUACAAUUUCUUACACUAAUUAUAAUAAUAAAAUAUAAAAAAACGUUUUUAAUCAACAAAAUAUAUUAAAACGGUAGCAGAGGUAUCUAACAAAGGUUAGAGAUAAUAGGAUAGAAGAAUAAUACAUUUAAAAACUCAAACUUAUUUUACACGGGAACUUUAAAGUACAAAUUAUUUUUCUUAAUUUAAAUAUAAAAAUAUUCUGAUCUUAUUUUUCUCUUAAACACACUAAAUCAAUAUUUAUUGUACCGGUAUGGGCGAGGCCGAGACCCACCUGGCUGCCCGAGGCCGAGUCUACCUGACCAAGACCAAGGGAAUCUGGCGAAAACUUGAGAGAUUUGGCCGAGAUGACGAGGCCAACAAUCCACUUGGCCGAGACCUUAGAAGACUUGGCCGAAACGACCAAGACCAUGGGAAUUCGGCCGAUGGCCGACCCAUACCGGGGGGAACUUGGCCGACAGCCGACCCCUAUUACCGGUAACGCUCAAACCCAGAUUAGUGAAGUUAACCCAUCAUUAAAAAUUAGGUAAUACAACCCUAAGUGGUAUCCACUUCGAUAAACGGGUCCAACAAGGUAGACCCAUUAGAAUAAUAUAAAUAGCACGCAUCCCAAGGAGUAAGGUAUGUCAUUUAUUACUGUUCACCUACCUGAGAGCUGACCACCCGCUUUACUGACUUGAGCGUCGGAGUGCCUUCGCAGGUACCCCCACCAUCCGGUGUUCACCCGAGACCGAGUGCCGAAGGAAAAGUGUUGGAGAUCCCACAUCGACUAGAGAUGAGAGCCUUUCAUAGUAUAUAAGUGGGUGCAAACCUCACACCAUUGAGCCGGUUUUAUGGGGUUGAGUUAGGCUUAAAGUCCACUUCGUAACAAAAAGCAGGAAGACAAGAAGAAUCCCAGCUCAUCACCCAAUCACCUGACCGGCCGAAGAAAGGAGAAGAAGACUUCAAAGUGAUUUGAUAAAUAAAUAAACUCUCAAAUAUAUCUUAAAUAUCAUAUAAAAUAAUAAACUUUAAAUAUAACUUUAUCUUAUAAAAUAAAAUUUAUACUAAUUUGUAUAUUAUCAAGGACAAGUGAGAUCUCCCACAAUUACACGUACUAUUACAAGUUUUUUAAAACGUUUAUUAAUAAAAGAAUUUAAAUGAAAAGAGUUGUUUAUAUUUAAUGAACAAACUUUAAAAUAAGUUAUUUUAAAAAAGGUAAAAUAUAUUGUUAAAUCGAAUUCUUUUUUUUACAUUCUUUCCUAAAUUGAUUAACUGUCCAAAUAUUCAUAAAGAAAAAACCUCUUAUAGAACAUAUUAAAAAAAAACUUUACAUGAUAUUUUAAAAUUUAUGGGUGAACUUCAAUGCAUUGAAGAGAAUGAUGAACUUUUUGAAUCAUUGGAAGAAGAAUGAUUAACUUUUUGAAUCAUUAUAAAUACAGGUUCAACAUCAAUGCAUUAUGUUUUGUUUUCACUUACCAAAAUUAGUACAAUGAUAUAAGUGCAAUGUGACCAAUGUAAGCUAAAAAACAACAACCUCUACAAACUUCCUCAGAAUAAUGUACUAUCAAACAAUUAUAAGUAACAUGAAAUAUGGCUCAAAAAAACAUUUAUAAUCCUAUAUCCUUUCAUCAUGUAAAAUAAUUAUUAAUAUUGUAAUAAUUAAAAGUUUAUUUUGGUUUCACAAUACAGUAUUUUUAUUAUUUCUUACCCUUAGAAACAGUCUUAGAUAUAUCAUAUUACUUUUAUGUUUAAAUUUAACACAUAUUAGAAUAUUUUUAUUAUUAACAUAAAAAAUAUUUUAUUUUACAUAAAUAUUUUGAAAUAAAACUAAUGCAGGGUUAUAUUUUUGCAUCUAGUUAUUAAAAAUUCAAAAGAUCAAACGAAAAAAUAUUUGACAAAAUAUUCUUUUUACAAGAUAAGAUAGUUUUCAAUAAAGAUUUAAAAAAAAUCAAUUAAUGAAUUUUUUUUUCAAGAUUCCAAAUCGACUAAAAAUGAGAAUAUUUUAUUGUAUAUAAGUGGGUGCAAAUCUCAUUUCAUGAGCCAGUUUUAUGGGGUUGAGUUCAGCUUAAAGUUCACUUUGUAAUUUGGUAUCAGACUCAUUUUGAGUCUAUCUUAACAAGUAUUUGUUAGUCUUAUCAGACCACCCGCUAGUAGGUGCAAACCUCACCAUAAACUGAUUUUAUGGGGUUGAAUUAGACUUAAAUAUAUUUUUAAAAAAAAUUAAUUCAAGUUUCUAAAAAAGUAGGGGCAAUAUAUUAAGAAAAAAAACUCCACUUUUGUUUGUAUUAUAAUUCUUUUUAUUUACUACUUUUUGAAAAGUGAAAGAAAGAUGUUAACAUUUUUGGUUCAUAUGGAAGAAGUGACAUUUAAUGUUUUUUCAACCACCACAGUUUUAUCUCAUUCACAACCUGCUUCUGAAUGAUAUAUAACAAAACUAUUCCAAACAUUCUACAGUUAAAUUUACAAUCUCACUGUCUCCUCUUAAAUUCAUAUUUUUUUUUUAAUUUAACAGACUAUAUAAGAAUUUUGAUUUAAAGUAUUCUAAAACAACACGUCAAUCAACUAAUAACUAAGUGUUUAUAUUACAGAUUACUUAAAAUAUAAUUCUUAAAAUUAAUUAAUAAAUUUUGAUUUUUUAAAAUCUGUAUUAUGAAGACAUUCAUAUUUACGAAGUUACGUUGAAACUUUGUCCAUGACUUAUUUUAUAUAAAAAUGACUUUUUCAUAUUCUUCACAUAUAAUUGAUCAGCAAUUUCCGAGAUGAUGCUGAUCAUAUCAAAAUAACUUUUAUUGUAUUUAAAAAAUGCUUUUAUAAAGUGUGAGUGCAGCAGAAAGAAAUAUCUGUGAGUGAGAACUAAGAGAGAGAUAAUAUAAAAUAUACAUAAAAACAGCAAGGAGUUACACUUUCUAUGGCUAGUAGUUGGAAAUAACAAAAAGAAACCUCAGCUUUUGAAAAUUGAUAUAAAAUCACUUAAAAUGAGCAUUAAUAUAAUAUUUGCUAUAAAAAAAAACAUAUUUAAGUAAAACAUUACAAGAAUUAAAAAAAAAUAAAGGUUGUGAAUAACAACAAAUCAUAUCUGACAAAAAAAAACCAUAAAGUAGUUAUUGUUAUGAUGGGGUUCGGUUUUUUUUGGCGUAGUUCACUGAUAGUAUUUAAGAAUUGCUGCAUGCAGGGUUGAAGGUUAAGUAGUUUCAGUUUGACUUGUGUGUGUGAUUUGUUUUAACUCACAUUAUUACAACUUUUAUUAUUAUUAUUUUAAUAUUAUUUAAUUUUAAAUUUAUUUUUAUUAUAUUUAUUUAUUUUUAAAUCCAUCACAUCAAAAUUAUAUAUAUGUAAAUUUUCCUUAUAUCAUUGUUGUUUUGUUAGGUUAGGAAAAGAUGUAUCAGACACGCAUACUCUUCUUUGAUAAAGAGUUGUGAGGGACCAUCAAUGAGAGUGUUCACUGUGUUAUGGUUUUCAUUCUAGACAAAAUCCGUUCAUUUCUCCUUCAAAUGUUGCUAUUUUUAUAAAUGAUUAACAGUAAAAAUAAAUAAUUAAAAUUUGGGACACAAAUGCAAUUAAAAUUGAGGAAAGUUAUUACAAAGUGGACUUUAAGCCUAAUUAAACCCCAUAAAACCGGCUCAUGUUGA
rnacentral:lncRNA from 1 species